CUUCUGAGGAGAACAUGAGCAGUGAAGAUUCACCUUGGAGCUAGAACAGAGACAUGCACAUGAUUAUACAGGGGCAGGGGCUCAAGUUUUUUCCAGUCGUUUAUACAAUAUGGAAAUUAAUGUGAAAUUAAAACACAAAGUAUUAAUAGAAAGGUAAUGACUGUCCUGUGUAGGUGACAGUGAUAUCCAAUAGGCUAGGCACUCACGAGGCUGGCUGUGGCAAGUGUAAGUGAAAGCAACACGCACUGGCAGGAAGAACAGCAAACGCCGAUGAAGGAAAAGGGUCUUUGCAGUGAUGGGCGUUAACAGAGAGGGCGAUGGCCAGAGGACACAAAUGGGACGGGGAGGCAGCGCGUUGGGGGGGAGACGCGACACGGCUCGGGCCCGCCAGUGCCCCAACGGGGUCCUAGUUAGGGCCCGAGCGUAGCUGCUAAGCAGCUGCGAGAGCCCUCUUGUUCCUGUAGUUUCCUUCUUUUGUUAUUAUUAUUAGGGCCCGAGCCAGCUGCAGAGCAGCCGGGCGUAGGCCCUAUUAUUCCCCAAGUGGUUUUUCUUUGUUUCUUUCUUUCUUUCUUUCUUUCUUUCUUUCUUUCUUCUUUUUCCUCCCCUUUGAACUGGAAAAUGGCCCACUUCCCACUGGCGAAAACUCAUGAAAUUUGGCAGGACGACCGGGCCUGGUGAAAAAUUCGAUAUUCUGAAGUCGCCCAAACAAUAAAAUGCAAAAUGGCUCCAUAGCGCCCCCUAAGGUGGAAAUUCACACUAUUGACUGUCACGCCUGUACGCUUUGUCAUAUUGACACAAAAAUUGACACACAUAUGUAUCUCAAUAAGAUCUACAAAAAAGUCAGUGCGGCCGUAUCUGUCAAAUGUACGGUCAAAGGGUUAUUUCGCAUUUUUUGCCGAUCCGCACACAUUGGAAUUUCGCUAACUCCUCCGAAGGCUUUCGUUCCACCGGCACCACAUUUGCUCAGGCCAAUCUACACCCCGUGGCCAUUAAAAGUUAUCAAAAUCAUGACGCUGCACCCCAAGGUUUAGGUUCUAGGGGGCGCCAAAGAUAACACUAAAAUCCACAUAUUUAAAAGUCUUAUAACUUUUUAUUUUUGUCCUCACUAGCCUCCAAGUUUUCUAGGAUGAUGCAAUGUCCAGCCAUCAACACAUUUGUGAAGGAAUUUUUACUCCCCAAAAGAGCGCCCCCCCCAUGGCAGGAGAAAAAAGUCCAUUUUUUCUUGUCCCCUAAGGUGAAAAUACACAUUCUUGAGUGUCACGCCUAUACGCUUUGUCAAAAUGACACAAAAAUUGACACACACAUGUAACUCAAUAAGAUCUACAAAAAAGUCCAUGCGCGCGUAUCUGUCAAAUGUACAGUUAAAGGGUUAUUCCGCAUUUUUUACCGAUACGCACACAUUGGAAUUUCGCUAACUCCUCCGAAGGCUUUCGUUCCACCGGCACCACAUUUGCUCAGGCCAAUCUACACCCCAUGGCCAUUAAAAGUUAUUCAAAUCAUGAUGCUGCACCCCAUGGUUUAGGUUCUAGGGGGCGCCAAAAAUAACCCAAAAAUCCACAUUCUUAAAUGUUUUAUAACUUUUUAUUUUUGUCCUCACUGGCCUCCAAGUUCUCUAGGAUGAUGCAAUGUCCAGCCAUCAACACAUUUGUGAAGGAAUUUUUACUCCCCAAAAGAGCGCCCCCCCAUGGUAGGAGAAAAAAGUCCAUUUUUUCUUGUCCCCUUACAUGAAAAUACACAUUGUUGAGUGUCACGCCUGAACGCUUUGUCAUAUUGACACAAAAAUUGACAAUCAUGUGUAUCUCAAUUAGAUCUACGAAAAAGUCAAAGAGCGCGUAUCUUUAUAAUGUACGGUUAAAGGGCUAUUUUGCAUUUUUUGCCGAUUCGCACACAUUGGAAUGUGGCUAUCUCCUCCUAAGGCUUUCGUCCCACCGAUACCAAAUUUGCUCAGGGCAAUCUACACCCCAUGCCCAUUCAAAGUUGUAAAAAUCAUGACGCUGCACCCCACGGUUUACGUUCUAGGGGGCGCCAAAGAUGACCCAAAAAUCCACAUUCUUAAAAGUCAUUUUGGCCACUGCAGGAGUACAGAGUACUGCAGUUCUAGGGGGCGCCAAAGAUGACCCAAAAAUCCACAUUCUUAAAAGGUUUUUUUGGCCACUGCAGGAGUACAGAGUACUGCAGGAUACACACACAUAUACACACACGCCAACAUACACACACACACAGACACACACACACACAGACACACACACACACUCAGAGUCUGUUUUUUAGCACCUGCAAAAACAUGCUGUUUACAUAUUUGACAAGAAUGCAGAGGCUUCCUUUUGCCCCUGAAAAAAAUCAAAUUUCAAACACAACUUGACUGUUCAUUUCUCCAAAAGACAACCAUGAAGCUCCAUUUCAAACCUGAAGCAGAUAGUUGGUGCAUGUGUACAGUAACCUGAGGGGAGUGAGGUGACUAUUUCUGAGGAGAACAUGAGCAGUGAAGAUUCACCUUGGAGCUAGAACAGGGACGUGCACAUGAUUAUACAGGGGCAGGGGCUCAAGUUUUUUCCAGUCAUUUAUACAAUAUGGAAAUUAAUGUGAAAUUAAACCACAAAUAUGUGUGAUGAACUGUUUUUAAAACUUAAACUUCAAAUAAAAAUUGUAAACUUCAAAACAUAUGCAAAUUUUUAACAAAGAACAUAGUAAUUUACCUCUAUUUACAUCAAAAUGCAGGCAAUGGCCCAGGCGUUCUUUGCAAAAUUAUUUACAAAACACUGUAUAGUCUCACAAAUGUCACUUUUUAUUUAUGCCACUACAAAAAAACAUGAUGUAAAUGAUGCAUGAUGUAAAACAUGAUGUAAAAAACUUGUGUAGAUCCUCCUCUAUGUCAGUCCAUGUGUAAUUUUUCCAUAAUUCUUUGUUUUUUGCAGCAUUUUUGUUAGUGUAACUGCAGAUUGUGCUGACAGUGUCUAUGGCACAAAAAAAAAAAAAAAUUAAAAUGCCUCAACAUGAACCCCUGGUGGUCUCUGAGGGUGAAACCUGCUAACUGCUGCAGCUCUGUCAGCUUCAGUCUCCCAUGCAGAGCUCUGAGCGCAUGUGUGGCUCUGCACCCUUAGCAGCGUUGCUAACUCCUCAGUAAGGAAAGCCUGCUUCAUGUCAGAGUCUCUAAACUCCAGAAGAAGUCGAUAAAAGUCCCUUUCUUUCUAAAAAAAAAAGUCGUUAGGGGGUCUGAAAAGUCAUUGAAUCUAACAACAAAGUCGCUAGGUUUGCAACUACGUGUCCCAGACUGCAUCCCUGCUGAGAGUCCCUCCCUCCCUUCUCAUGUUGCAGGAAGAACGUAAGCGCCCUCCCCUUGUCAAUCAGUCACCAUAUAAUUUUGGAUUGGUUGUUGUGGUGAAGUUUUCCACCAAUAGGAGAGAUGUUGUGGUGUGUUUUUUUUUUCUUUUGGCAAGCCUUUUCCGCCUGUAAGACCUGUCGCUAAUGUGUGCAUGCUAUGUUUUCCUGUCUCAUACAGCGCGAUCGAGCGCCGAACGUGAUCAAAAUAAGCAGAAAAAAAGUAUCGCGGACAUAAUUUAUCAUAACUCUGGUUUUAUUUGGCCUAUCAACACAAUUUAAAAACUGGUAUAUAGGUUGAGGUCCUCACUUUUGAGAUAAGUUGAAACGGAGAGUCAACGAGGCUCCGUCUUGCAGCUACAUCCGGUUAAAUAUGUCAUGUGACUUGAACGCACACACAGACACACACACACGCACACACACACACACACACACACACACACACACACACACACACACACACACACACACUCAGAGUCUGGUUUUUAGCACCUGCAAAAACAUGCUAUUUACAUAUUUGACAAGAAUGCAGAGGCUCCUUUUGCCCCUGAAAAAAAAAUCAAAUUUCAAACACAACUUGACUGGUCAUUUCUCCAAAAGACAACCAUGAAGCUCCAUCCAAAGCUCCAUCCGACAAGGCUCGGGCCCGCCAGUGCCCCAACGGGGUCCUAGUUAUUUUUCCUCCCCUUUGAACUGGAAAAUGGCCCACUUCCCACUGGCGAAAACUCAUGAAAUUUGGCAGGACGACCGGGCCUGGUGAAAAAUUUGAUAUUCCGAAGUCGCCCAAACAAGAAAAUGCAAAAUGGCUCCAUAGCGCCCCCUAAGGUGAAAAUUCACACUAUUCACUGUCACGCCGGUACGCUUUGUCCAAAUGACACAAAAAUUGACACACACAUGUAUCUCAAUAAGAUCUACAAAAAAGUCAGUGCGGGCGUAUCUGUCAAAUGUACGGUUAAAGGGUUAUUUCGCAUUUUUUGCCGAUCCGCACACAUUGGAAUUUCGCUAACUCCUCCGAAGGCUUUCGUUCCACCGGCACCACAUUUGCUCAGGCCAAUCUACACCCCAUGGCCAUUAAAAGUUAUUCAAAUCAUGACGCUGCACCCCACGGUUUAGGUUCUAGGGGGCGCCAAAGAUAACCCUAAGAUCCACAUAUUUAAAAGUCUUAUAACUUUUUAUUUUUGCCCUCACUGGCCUCCAAGUUUUCUAGGAUGAUGCAAUGUCCAGCCAUCAACACAUUUGUGAAGGAAUUUUUACUCCCCAAAAGAGCGCCCCCCCAUGGCAGGAGAAAAAAGUCCAUUUUUUCUUGUCCCCUAAGGUGAAAAUACACAUUGUUGAGUGUAACACCUGUACGCUUUGGCAAAAUGACACAAAAAUUGACACACACAUGUAUCUCAAUAAGAUCUACAAAAAAGUCAAUGCGCGCGUAUCUGUCAAAUGUACGGUUAAAGGGUUAUUCCGCAUUUUUUGCCGAUCCGCACACAUUGGAAUUUCGCUAACUCCUCCGAAGGCUUUUCGUUCCACCGGCACCACAUUUGCUCAGGCCAAUCUACACCCCAUGGCCAUUAAAAGUUAUUCAAAUCAUGACGCUGCACCCCACGGUUUAGGUUCUAGGGGGCGCCAAAGAUAACCCUAAGAUCCACAUAUUUAAAAGUCUUAUAACUUUUUAUUUUUGCCCUCACUGGCCUCCAAGUUUUCUAGGAUGAUGCAAUGUCCAGCCAUCAACACAUUUGUGAAGGAAUUUUUACUCCCCAAAAGAGCGCCCCCCAUGGCAGGAGAAAAAAGUCCAUUUUUUCUUGUCCCCUAAGGUGAAAAUACACAUUGUUGAGUGUAACACCUGUACGCUUUGGCAAAAUGACACAAAAAUUGACACACACAUGUAUCUCAAUAAGAUCUACGAAAAAGUCAAUGCGCGCGUAUCUGUCAAAUGUACGGUUAAAGGGUUAUUCCGCAUUUUUUGCCGAUCCGCACACAUUGGAAUUUCGCUAACUCCUCCGAAGGCUUUCGUUCCACCGGCACCACAUUUGCUCAGGCCAAUCUACACCCCAUGGCCAUUAAAAGUUAUUCAAAUCAUGACGCUGCACCCCACGGUUUAGGUUCUAGGGGGAGCCAAAGAUAACCGUAAAAUCCACAUAUUUAAAAGUCUUAUAACUUUUUAUUUUUGUCCCCACUGGCCUCCAAGUUUUCUAGGAUGAUGCAAUGUCCAGCCAUCAACACAUUUGUGAAGGAAUUUUUACUCGGCAAAAGAGCGCCCCCCCAUGGCAGGAGAAAAAAGUCCAUUUUUUCUUGUCCACUAAGGUGAAAAUACACAUUGUUGAGUGCUACGCCUGUAUGUUUUGUCGUAUUGACACAAAAUUUUACAUACACGUGUAUUUCAAUAAGAUCUUCGAAAAAGUCAAUGGCCACGUAUCUGUAAAAUGUACGGUUAAAGGGUUAUUUCGCAUUUUUUGCAGAUUCGCACACAUUGGAAUUUCGCUAAUUUCUCCGAAGGCUUUCGUUCCACCGGCACCACAUUUGCUCAGGCCAAUCUACACCCCAUGGCCAUUAAAAGUUAUUCAAAUCAUGACGCUGCACCCCACGGUUUAGGUUCUAAGGGGCGCCAAAGAUAACCCUAAAAUCCACAUAUUUAAAAGUCUUAUAAAUUUUUAUUUUUGUCCUCACUGGCCUCCAUGUUUUCUAGGAUGAUGCAAUGUCCAGCCAUCAACACAUUUGUGAAGGAGUUUUUUCUCUUUAAAAGAGCGCCCCCCAUGGCAGGAGAAUAAAGUCAAGUUUUUCCUGUUCAUCAUUCAAUGGCUCAAACGCACUGCUCUCUCGGCAAAAGCGAAAGGAGGAGCAACUUGCCAUUUGGAUAUAUCUUAGCUGUGUUUGUGCCCUCACUCAUGGUCCAGACUUUUUUCAAAUAGGACAUGGAGUUUUUCUGCAGCGAGCGUUUUGGUAGAAACUGCGCCUCCCGUUCAUUAUAAUGGUAAAUGACCACAAACAAGUGCGCACACCAUCUUUGGACCUUGAGUGUGACGCGAUCGGGUGGGGGAGGCGGUCGCGCUGGGGGCGGCGUGACACGGCUCGGGCCCGCCAGUGCCCCAACGGGGCCCUAGUUUCUUCUUUUUCCUCCCCUUUGAACUGGAAAAUGGCCCACUUCCCACUGGCGAAAACUCAUGAAAUUUGGCAGGACGACCGGGCCUGGUGAAAAAUUCGAUAUUCUGAAGUCGCCCAAACAAUAAAAUUCAAAAUGGCUCCAUAGCGCCCCCUAAGGUGGAAAUUCACACUAUUGACUGUCACGCCUGUACGCUUUGUCAUAUUGACACAAAAAUUGACACACAUAUGUAUCUCAAUAAGAUCUACAAAAAAGUCAGUGCGGCCGUAUCUGUCAAAAUUACGGUUAAAGGGUUAUUUCGCAUUUUUUGCCGAUCCGCACACAUUGGAAUUUCGCUAACUCCUCCGAAGGCUUUCGUUCCACCGGCACCACAUUUGCUCAGGCCAAUCUACACCCCGUGGCCAUUAAAAGUUAUCAAAAUCAUGACGCUGCACCCCAAGGUUUAGGUUCUAGGGGGCGCCAAAGAUAACACUAAAAUCCACAUAUUUAAAAGUCUUAUAACUUUUUAUUUUUGUCCUCACUGGCCUCCAAGUUUUCUAGGAUGAUGCAAUGUCCAGCCAUCAACACAUUUGUGAAGGAAUUUUUACUCCCCAAAAGAGCGCCCCCCCAUGGCAGGAGAAAAAAGUCCAUUUUUUCUUGUCCCCUAAGGUGAAAAUACACAUUGUUGAGUGUCACGCCUAUACGCUUUGUCAAAAUGACACAAAAAUUGACACACACAUGUAACUCAAUAAGAUCUACAAAAAAGUCCAAGCGCGCGUAUCUGUCAAAUGUACAGUUAAAGGGUUAUUCCGCAUUUUUUGCCGAUACGCACACAUUGGAAUUUCGCUAACUCCUCCGAAGGCUUUCGUUCCACCGGCACCACAUUUGCUCAGGCCAAUCUACACCCCAUGGCCAUUAAAAGUUAUUCAAAUCAUGAUGCUGCACCCCAUGGUUUAGGUUCUAGGGGGCGCCAAAAAUAACCCAAAAAUCCACAUUCUUAAAUGUUUUAUAACUUUUUAUUUUUGUCCUCACUGGCCUCCAAGUUUUCUAGGAUGAUGCAAUGUCCAGCCAUCAACACAUUUGUGAAGGAAUUUUUACUCCCCAAAAGAGCGCCCCCCCAUGGUAGGAGAAAAAAGUCAAUUUUUUCUUGUCCCCUUACAUAAAAAUACACAUUGUUGAGUGUCACGCCUGAACGCUUUGUCAUAUUGACACAAAAAUUGACAAUCAUGUGUAUCUCAAUUAGAUCUACGAAAAAGUCAAAGAGCGCGUAUCUGUAUAAUGUACGGUUAAAGGGCUAUUUUGCAUUUUUUGCCGAUUCGCACACAUUGGAAUGUGGCUAUCUCCUCCUAAUGCUUUCGUCCCACCGAUACCAAAUUUGCUCAGGGCAAUCUACACCCCAUGCCCAUUCAAAGUUGUAAAAAUCAUGACGCUGCACCCCACGGUUUACGUUCUAGGGGGCGCCAAAAAUGACCCAAAAAUCCACAUUCUUAAAAGUCAUUUUGGCCACUGCAGGAGUACAGAGUACUGCAGUUCUAGGGGGCGCCAAAGAUGACCCAAAAAUCCACAUUCUUAAAAGUCUUUUUGGCCACUGCAGGAGUACAGAGUACUGCAGGAUACACACACAUAUACACACACGCCAACAUACACACACACACACACACACACACACACACACACACAGACACACACACACACUCAGAGUCUGUUUUUUAGCACCUGCAAAAACAUGCUGUUUACAUAUUUGACAAGAAUGCAGAGGCUUCCUUUUGCCCCUGAAAAAAAUCAAAUUUCAAACACAACUUGACUGUUCAUUUCUCCAAAAGACAACCAUGAAGCUCCAUUUCAAACCUGAAGCAGAUAGUUGGUGCAUGUGUACAGUAACCUGAGGGGAGUGAGGUGACUAUUUCUGAGGAGAACAUGAGCAGUGAAGAUUCACCUUAGAGCUAGAACAGGGACGUGCACAUGAUUAUACAGGGGCAGGGGCUCAAGUUUUUUCCAGUCAUUUAUACAAUAUGGAAAUUAAUGUGAAAUUAAACCACAAAUAUGUGUGAUGAACUGUUUUUAAAACUUAAACUUCAAAUAAAAAUUGUAAACUUCAAAACAUAUGCAAAUUUUUAACAAAGAACAUAGUAAUUUACCUCUAUUUACAUCCAAAUACAGGCAAUGGCCCAGGCGUUCUUUGUAAAAUUAUUUACAAAACACUGUAUAGUCUCACAAAUGUCACUUUUUAUUUAUGCCACUACAAAAAAACAUGAUGUAAAUGAUGCAUGAUGUAAAACAUGAUGUAAAAAACUUGUGUAGAUCCUCCUCUAUGUCAGUCCAUGUGUAAUUUUUCCAUAAUUCUUUGUUUUUUGCAGCAUUUUUGUUAGUGUAACUGCAGAUUGUGCUGACAGUGUCUAUGGCACAAAAAAAAAAAAAAAUUAAAAUGCCUCAACAUGAACCCCUGGUGGUCUCUGAGGGUGAAACCUGCUAACUGCUGCAGCUCUGUCAGCUUCAGUCUCCCAUGCAGAGCUCUGAGCGCAUGUGUGGCUCUGCACCCUUAGCCGCGUUGCUAACUCCUCAGUAAGGAAAGCCUGCUUCAUGUCAGAGUCUCUAAACUCCAGAAGAAGUCGAUAAAAGUCCCUUUCUUUCUAAAAAAAAGUCGUUAGGGUGUCUGAAAAGUCAUUGAAUCUAACAACAAAGUCGCUAGGUUUGCAACUACGUGUCCCAGACUGCAUCCCUGCUGAGAGUCCCUCCCUCCCUUCUCAUGUUGCAGGAAGAACGUAAGCGCCCGCCCCUUGUCAAUCAGUCACCAUAUAAUUUUGGAUUGGUUGUUGUGGUGAAGUUUUCCACCAAUAGGAGAGAUGUUGUGGUGUGUAUUUUUUUCCUUUGGCAAGCCUUUUCCGCCUGUAAGACCUGUCGCUAAUGUCUGCAUGCUAUGUUUUCCUGUCUCAUACAGCGCGAUCGAGCGCCGAACGUGAUCAAAAUAAGCAGAAAAAAAGUAUCGCGGACAUAAUUUAUCAUAACUCUGGUUUUAUUUGGCCUAUCAACACAAUUUAAAAACUGGUAUAUAGGUUGAGGUCCUCACUUUUGAGAUAAGUUGAAAUGGAGAGUCAACGAGGCUCCGUCUUGCAGCUACAUCCGGUUAAAUAUGUCAUGUGACUUGAACGCACACAUAGACACACACACACGCACACACACGCACACACACACACACACACACACACACACACACACACACACACUCAGAGUCUGGUUUUUAGCACCUGCAAAAACAUGCUAUUUACAUAUUUGACAAGAAUGCAGAGGCUCCUUUUGCCCCUGAAAAAAAUCAAAUUUCAAACACAACUUGACUGGUCAUUUCUCCAAAAGACAACCAUGAAGCUCCAUCCAAACCUGAAGCAGGCAGUUGGUGCAUGUGUACAGUAACCUGAGGGGAGUGAGGUGAGUGCUUCUGAGGAGAACAUGAGCAGUGAAGAUUCACCUUGGAGCUAGAACAGAGACAUGCACAUGAUUAUACAGGGGCAGGGGCUCAAGUUUUUUCCAGUCGUUUAUACAAUAUGGAAAUUAAUGUGAAAUUAAAACACAAAGUAUUAAUAGAAAGGUAAUGACUGUCCUGUGUAGGUGACAGUGAUAUCCAAUAGGCUAGGCACUCACGAGGCUGGCUGUGGCAAGUGUAAGUGAAAGCAACACGCACUGGCAGGAAGAACAGCAAACGCCGAUGAAGGAAAAGGGUCUUUGCAGUGAUGGGCACAAAUGGGACGGGGAGGCAGCAUGUUGGGGGGGGGGGGGAGACGCGACACGGCUCGGGCCCGCCAGUGCCCCAACGGGGUCCUAGUUAGGGCCCGAGCCAGCUGCAGAGCAGCCGGGCGUAGAGCCCUAUUAUUCCUGAUGAGUUUUUCUUUCUUCUUUCUUUCUUUCUUUCUUUCUUUAGGGCCCGAGCGUAGCUGCUAAGCAGCUGCGAGAGCCCUCUUGUUCCUGCAUGUUUCCUUCUUUCGUUAUUAUUUUUCCUCCGCUUUAAACUGGAAAAUGGCCCACUUCCCACUGGCGAAAACUCAGGAAAUUUGGCAGGACGACCGGGCCUGGUGAAAAAUUCGAUAUUCUGAAGUCGCCCAAACAAGAAAAUGCAAAAUGGCUCCAUAGCGCCCCCUAAGGUGAAAAUUCACAUGACAGCUGUACGCUUUGUCAUAUUGACACAACAAUUGACACACACAUGUAUCUCAAUAAGAUCUACAAAAAAGUCAGUGCGGGCGUAUCUGUCAAAUGUACGGUUAAUGGGUUUUUUUGCAUUUUUUGCAGAUCUGCACACAUUGGAAUUUCGCUAACUCCUCCGAAGGCUUUCGUUCGACCGGCACCACAUUUGCGCAGGCCAAUCUACCCCCCAUGGCCAUUAAAAGUUGUACAAAUCAUGACGCUGCACCCCACGGUUUACGUUCUAGGGGGCGCCAAAGAUAACCCAAAAUCCACAUUCUUAAAAGUCUUAUAACUUUUUAUUUUUGUCCUCACUGCCCUCCAAGUUUUCUAGGAUGAUGCAAUGUCCAGCCAUCAACACAUUUGUGAAGGAAUUUUUACUCCCCAAAAGAGCGCCCCCCCAUGGCAGGAGAAAAAAGUCAAUUUUUUCUUGUCCCCUUACAUGAAAAUACACAUUGUUGAGUGUCACGCCUGAACGCUUUGUCAUAUUGACACAAAAAUUGACAAUCAUGUGUAUCUCAAUUAGAUCUACGAAAAAGUCAAAAAGCGCGUGUCUGUAUAAUGUACGGUUAAAGGGCUAUUUCGCAUUUUUUGCCGAUUCGCACACAUUGGAAUGUGGCUAUCUCCUCCUAAGGCUUUCGUCCCACCGAUACCAAAUUUGCUCAGGGCAAUCUACACCCCAUGCCCAUUCAAAGUUGUAAAAAUCAUGACGCUGCACCCCACGGUUUACGUUCUAGGGGGCGCCAAAGAUGACCCAAAAAUCCACAUUCUUAAAAGUCAUUUUGGCCACUGCAGGAGUACAGAGUACUGCAGUUCUAGGGGGCGCCAAAGAUGACCCAAAAAUCCACAUUCUUAAAAGUCUUUUUGGCCACUGCAGGAGUACAGAGUACUGCAGGAACACACACACACACACACACACACACACACACACACACACACACACACACACACACACACACACACACACUCAGAGUCUGUUUUUUAGCACCUGCAAAAACAUGCUGUUUACAUAUUUGACAAGAAUGCAGAGGCUUCCUUUUGCCCCUGAAAAAAAUCAGAUUUCAAACACAACUUGACUGUUCAUUUCUCCAAAAGACAACCAUGAAGCUCCAUCCAAACCUGAAGCAGAUAGUUGGUGCAUGUGUACAGUAACCUGAGGGGAGUGAGGUGACUAUUUCUGAGGAGAACAUGAGCAGUGAAGAUUCACCUUGGAGCUAGAACAGGGACGUGCACAUGAUUAUACAGGGGCAGGGGCUCAAGUUUUUUCCAGUCAUUUAUACAAUAUGGAAAUUAAUGUGAAAUUAAACCACAAAUAUGUGUGAUGAACUGUUUUUAAAACUUAAACUUCAAAUAAAAAUUGUAAACUUCAAAACAUAUGCAAAUUUUUAACAAAGAACAUAGUAAUUUACCUCUAUUUACAUCAAAAUGCAGGCAAUGGCCCAGGCGUUCUUUGUAAAAUUAUUUACAAAACACUGUAUAGUCUCACAAAUGUCACUUUUUAUGUAUGCCACUACAAAAAAACAUGAUGUAAAUGAUGCAUGAUGUAAAACAUGAUGUAAAAAACUUGUGUAGAUCCUCCUCUAUGUCAGUCCAUGUGUAAUUUUUCCAUAAUUCUUUGUUUUUUGCAGCAUUUUUGUUAGUGUAACUGCAGAUUGUGCUGACAGUCUAUGGCAAAAAAAACAAAAACUGAAAAUGCCUCAGCAUGAACCCCUGGUGGUCUCUGAGGGUGAAACCUGCUAACUGCUGCAGCUCUGUCAGCUUCAGUCUCCCAUGCAGAGCUCGGAGCGCAUGUGUGGCUCUGCACCCUUAGCAGCGUUGCUAACUCCUCAGUAAGGAAAGCCUGCUUCAUGUCAGAGUCUCUAAACUCCAGAAGAAGUCGAUAAAAGUCCCUUUCUUUCUAAAAAAAAGUCGUUAGGGGGUCUGAAAAGUAAUUGAAUCUAACAACAAAGUCGCUAGGUUUGCAACUACGUGUCCCAGACUGCAUCCCUGCUGAGAGUCCCUCCCUCCCUUCUCAUGUUGCAGGAAGAACGUAAGCGCCCGCCCCUUGUCAAUCAGUCACCAUAUAAUUUUGGAUUGGUUGUUGUGGUGAAGUUUUCCACCAAUAGGAGAGAUGUUGUGGUGUGUUUUUUUUUUCUUUUGGCAAGCCUUUUCCGCCUGUAAGACCUGUCACUAAUGUGUGCAUGCUAUGUUUUCCUGUCUCAUACAGCGCGAUCGAGCGCCGAACGUGAUCAAAACAAGCAGAAAGGUUUAGGUUCUAGGGGGCGCCAAAGAUAACCCUAAAAUCCACAUAUUUAAAAGUCUUAUAACUUUUUAUUUUUGCCCUCACUGGCCUCCAAGUUUUCUAGGAUGAUGCGAUGUCCAGCCAUCAACACAUUUGUGAAGGAAUUUUUACUCCCCAAAAGAGCGCCCCCCCAUGGCAGGAGAAAAAAGUCAAUUUUUUCUUGUCCCAUAAGGUGAAAAUACACAUUGUUUAGUGUCACGCCUGUACGCUUUGGCAAAAUGACACAAAAAUUGACACACACAUGUAUCUCAAUAAGAUCUACGAAAAAGUCAAUGCGCGCGUAUCUGUCAAAUGUACGGUUAAAGGGUUAUUGCGCAUUUUUUGCCGAUCCGCACACAUUGGAAUUUCGCUAACUCCUCCGAAGGCUUUCGUUCCACCGGCACCACAUUUGCUCAGGCCAAUCUACACCCCAUGGCCAUUAAAAGUUAUUCAAAUCAUGACGCUGCACCCCACGGUUUAGGUUCUAGGGGGCGCCAAAGAUAACCCUAAAAUCCACAUAUUUAAAAGUCUUAUAACUUUUUAUUUUUGUCCUCUCUGGCCUCCAAGUUUUCUAGGAUGAUGCAAUGUCCAGCCAUCAACACAUUUGUGAAGGAAUUUUUACUCCCCAAAAGAGCGCCCCCCCAUGGCAGGAGAAAAAAGUCCAUUUUUUCUUGUCCCAUAAGGUGAAAAUACACAUUGUUGACUGUCAUACCUGUAUGCUUUGUCAUAUUGACACAAAAUUUGACACACACAUGUAUCUCAAUAAGAUCUACGAAAAAGUCAAUGCGCGCGUAUCUGUAAAAUGUACGGUUAAAGGGCUAUUUUGCAUUUUUUGCCGAUUAGCACACAUUGGAAUGUGGCUAACUCCUCCUAAGGCUUUCGUCCCACUGACACCAAAUUUGCUCAGGCCAAUCUACACCCCAUGGCCAUUCAAAGUUGUAAAAAUCAUGACGCUGCACCCCACGGUUUACGUUCUAGGGGGCGCCAAAGAUGACCCAAAUAUCCACAUUCUUAAAAGAAUCCCCCCCCCCCAUCCCCCAUCCCCCAUGGCAGGAGAAACAGUCAAGUUUUUCCUGCCCAUCACUCAAUGGCUCAAUCGCAUCGCUCUCCCGGCAACACCGUAACGAGGAGCAACUUGCCGUUUGGAUAUAUCCUAGCUGUGUUUGUGCCCUCACUCAUGGUCCAGACUUUUUUCAAAUAGGACAUGUAGUUUGUCUGCAGCGAGUGUUUUGGUAGAAACUGCGCCUCCUAUUCAUUAUAAUGGGAAAUGACCACAGACAAGUGCGCACACCAUCUUUGGACCUUGAGUGUGACGCGAUCGGGAGGGGGAGGUGGUCGCACUGGGGGCGGCGCAACGAGGCUCGGGCCCGCCAGUGCCCCAACGGGGCCCUAGUUUCUUCUUCUUCUUAUUAGGGCCCGAGCCAGCUGCAGAGCAGCCGGGCGUAGGCCCUAUUAUUCCCCAAGUGGUUUUUCUUUGUUUCUUUCUUUCUUUCUUUCUUUAGGGCCCGAGCGUAGCUGCUAAGCAGCUGCGAGAGCCCUCUUGUUCCUGUAGUUUCCUUCUUUUGUUAUUAUUAGGGCCCGAGCGUAGCUGCUAAGCAGCUGCGAGAGCCCUAUUAUUCCCCAAGUGGUUUUUCUUUGUUUCUUUUUUCUUUUUCCUCCCCUUUGAACUGGAAAAUGGCCCACUUCCCACUGGCGAAAACUCAUGAAAUUUGGCAGGACGACCGGGCCUGGUGAAAAAUUUGAUAUUCCGAAGUCGCCCAAACAAUAAAAUGCAAAAUGGCUCCAUAGCGCCCCCUAAGGUGAAAAUUCACAUGACGGCUGUACGCUUUGUCAUAUUGACACAAAAAUUGACACACACAUGUAUCUCAAUAAGAUCUACAAAAAAGUCAGUGCGGGCGUAUCUGUCAAAUGUACGGUUAAUGGGUUAUUUUGCAUUUUUUGCAGAUCUGCACACAUUGGAAUUUCGCUAACUCCUCCGAAGGCUUUCGUUCCACCGGCACCACAUUUGCUCAGGCCAAUCUACACCCCAUGGCCAUUAAAAGUUAUUCAAAUCAUGACGCUGCACCCCACGGUUUAGGUUCUAGGGGGCGCCAAAAAUAACCCUAAAAUCCACAUAUUUAAAAGUCUUAUAACUUUUUAUUUUUGUCCUCACUGGCCUCCAAGUUUUCUAGGAUGAUGCAAUGUCCAGCCAUCAACACAUCUGUGAAGGAAUUUUUACUCCCCAAAAGAGCGCCCCCCCAUGGCAGGAGAAAAAAGUCCAUUUUUUCUUGACCCCUAAGGUGAAAAUACACAUUGUUGAGUGUCACACCUUUACGCUUUGGCAAAAUGACACAAAAAUUGACACACACAUGUAUCUCAAUAAGAUCUACAAAAAAGUCUAUGAGCGCGUAUCUGUCAAAUGUACGGUUAAAGGGUUAUUCCGCAUUUUUUGCCGAUCCGCACACAUUGGAAUGUGGCUAACUCCUCCUAAGGCUUUCGUUCCACCGGCAACACAUUUGCUCAGGCCAAUCUACACCCCAUGGCCAUUAAAAGUUAUUCAAAUCAUGACGCUGCACCCCACGGUUUAGGUUCUAGGGGGCGCCAAAGAUAACCCUAAAAUCCACAUAUUUAAAAGUCUUAUAACUUUUUAUUUUUGUCCUCACUGGCCUCCAAGUUUUCUAGGAUGAUGCAAUGUCCAGCCAUCAACACAUUUGUGAAGGAAUUUUUACUCCCCAAAAGAGCGCCCCCCAUGGCAGGAGAAAAAAGUCCAUUUUUUCUUGUCCCCUAAGGUGAAAAUACAUAUUGUUGAGAUUCACGCCUAUACGCUUUGUCAUAUUGACACAAAAUUUGACAAUCACGUGCCUUGCCUGGUAUCAUUUUUUUCAGCACAACCUCACCUGUGCGAAUAUACAGUUAUUUUAUCAUGUUGACAUACUGAAUUUACACAAUGGACCCAAAUUCACACACAAAACAUAAAAUCCGAGUGGAAAAAAGUAACAUUUUUACUGUGAAAACCACAAAUAUGUGUGAUGAACUGUUUUUAAAACUUAAACUUCAAAUAAAAAUUGUAAACUUCAAAACAUAUGCAAAUUUUUAACAAAGAACAUAGUGAUUUACCUCUAUUUACAUCAAAAUGCAGGCAAUGGCCCAGGCGUUCUUUGUAAAAUUAUUUACAAAACACUGUAUAGUCUCACAAAUGUCACUUUUUAUUUAUGCCACUACAAAAAAACAUGAUGUAAAUGAUGCAUGAUGUAAAACAUGAUGUAAAAAACUUGUGUAGAUCCUCCUCUAUGUCAGUCCAUGUGUAAUUUUUCCAUAAUUCUUUGUUUUUUGCAGCAUUUUUGUUAGUGUAACUGCAGAUUGUGCUGACAGUGUCUAUGGCACAAAAAAAAAAAAAAAUUAAAAUGCCUCAACAUGAACCCCUGGUGGUCUCUGAGGGUGAAACCUGCUAACUGCUGCAGCUCUGUCAGCUUCAGUCUCCCAUGCAGAGCUCUGAGCGCAUGUGUGGCUCUGCACCCUUAGCAGCGUUGCUAACUCCUCAGUAAGGAAAGCCUGCUUCAUGUCAGAGUCUCUAAACUCCAGAAGAAGUCGAUAAAAGUCCCUUUCUUUCUAAAAAAAAAAGUCGUUAGGGGGUCUGAAAAGUCAUUGAAUCUAACAACAAAGUCGCUAGGUUUGCAACUACAUGUCCCAGACUGCAUCCCUGCUGAGAGUCCCUCCCUCGCUUCUCAUGUUGCAGGAAGAACGUAAGCACCCGCCCCUUGUCAAUCAGUCACCAUAUAAUUUUGGAUUGGUUGUUGUGGUGAAGUUUUCCACCAAUAGGAGAGAUGUUGUGGUGUGUUUUUUUUUUCUUUUGGCAAGCCUUUUCCGCCUGUAAGACCUGUCGCUAAUGUCUGCAUGCUAUGUUUUCCUGUCUCAUACAGCGCGAUCGAGUGCCGAACGUGAUCAAAAUAAGCAGAAAAAAAGUAUCACGGACAUAAUUUAUCAUAACUCUGGUUUUAUUUGGCCUAUCAACACAAUUUAAAAACUGGUAUAUAGGUUGAGGUCCUCACUUUUGAGAUAAGUUGAAACGGAGAGUCAACGAGGCUCCGUCUUGCAGCUACAUCCGGUUAAAUAUGUCAUGUGACUUGAACGCACACACAGACACACACACACGCACACACACACACACACACACACACACACACACACACACACACUCAGAGUCUGGUUUUUAGCACCUGCAAAAACAUGCUAUUUACAUAUUUGACAAGAAUGCAGAGGCUCCUUUUGCCCCUGAAAAAAAUCAAAUUUCAAACACAACUUGACUGGUCAUUUCUCCAAAAGACAACCAUGAAGCUCCAUCCAAACCUGAAGCAGGCAGUUGGUGCAUGUGUACAGUAACCUGAGGGGAGUGAGGUGAGUGCUUCUGAGGAGAACAUGAGCAGUGAAGAUUCACCUUGGAGCUAGAACAGAGACAUGCACAUGAUUAUACAGGGGCAGGGGCUCAAGUUUUUUCCAGUCGUUUAUACAAUAUGGAAAUUAAUGUGAAAUUAAAACACAAAGUAUUAAUAGAAAGGUAAUGACUGUCCUGUGUAGGUGACAGUGAUAUCCAAUAGGCUAGGCACUCACGAGGCUGGCUGUGGCAAGUGUAAGUGAAAGCAACACGCACUGGCAGGAAGAACAGCAAACGCCGAUGAAGGAAAAGGGUCUUUGCAGUGAUGGGCGUUACCAGAGAGGGCGAUGGCCAGAGGACACAAAUGGGACGGGGAGGCAGCACGUUGGGGGGACGCGACACGGCUCGGGCCCGCCAGUGCCCCAACGGGGUCCUAGUUAUUUUUCCUCCCCUUUGAACUGGAAAAUGGCCCACUUCCCACUGGCGAAAAACUCAUGAAAUUUGGCAGGACGACCGGGCCUGGUGAAAAAUUUGAUAUUCCGAAGUCGCCCAAACAAGAAAAUGCAAAAUGGCUCCAUAGCGCCCCCUAAGGUGAAAAUUCACACUAUUGACUGUCACGCCUGUACGCUUUGUCAAAAUGACACAAAAAUUGACACACACAUGUAUCUCAAUAAGAUCUACAAAAAAGUCAGUGCGGGCGUAUCUGUCAAAUGUACGGUUAAAGGGUUAUUUCGCAUUUUUUGCCGAUCCGCACACAUUGGAAUUUCGCUAACUCCUCCGAAGGCUUUCGUUCCACCGACACCACAUUUGCUCAGGCCAAUCUACACCCCAUGGCCAUUAAAAGUUAUUCAAAUCAUGACGCUGCACCCCACGGUUUAGGUUCUAGGGGGCGCCAAAGAUAACCCUAAGAUCCACAUAUUUAAAAGUCUUAUAACUUUUUAUUUUUGCCCUCACUGGCCUCCAAGUUUUCUAGGAUGAUGCAAUGUCCAGCCAUCAACACAUUUGUGAAGGAAUUUUUACUCCCCAAAAGAGCGCCCCCCCAUGGCAGGAGAAAAAAGUCCAUUUUUUCUUGUCCCCUAAGGUGAAAAUACACAUUGUUGAGUGUAACACCUGUACGCUUUGGCAAAAUGACACAAAAAUUGACACACACAUGUAUCUCAAUAAGAUCUACGAAAAAGUCAAUGCGCGCGUAUCUGUCAAAUGUACGGUUAAAGGGUUAUUCCGCAUUUUUUGCCGAUCCGCACACAUUGGAAUUUCGCUAACUCCUCCGAAGGCUUUCGUUCCACCGGUACCACAUUUGCUCAGGCCAAUCUACACCCCAUGGCCAUUAAAAGUUAUUCAAAUCAUGACGCUGCACCCCACGGUUUAGGUUCUAGGGGGCGCCAAAGAUAACCGUAAAAUCCACAUAUUUAAAAGUCUUAUAACAUUUUAUUUUUGUCCCCACUGGCCUCCAAGUUUUCUAGGAUGAUGCAAUGUCCAGCCAUCAACACAUUUGUGAAGGAAUUUUUACUCCCCAAAAGAGCGCCCCCCCAUGGCAGGAGAAAAAAGUCCAUUUUUUCUUGUCCACUAAGGUGAAAAUACACAUUGUUGAGUGCUACGCCUGUAUGUUUUGUCGUAUUGACACAAAAUUUUACAUACACGUGUAUUUCAAUAAGAUCUUCGAAAAAGUCAAUGGCCACGUAUCUGUAAAAUGUACGGUUAAAGGGUUAUUUUGCAUUUUUUGCAGAUUCGCACACAUUGGAAUUUCGCUAACUCCUCCGAAGGCUUUUGUUCCACCGGCACCACAUUUGCUCAGGCCAAUCUACACCCCAUGGCCAUUAAAAGUUAUUCAAAUCAUGACGCUGCACCCCACGGUUUAGGUUCUAGGGGGCGCCAAAGAUAACCCUAAAAUCCACAUAUUUAAAAGUCUUAUAACUUUUUAUUUUUGUCCUCACUGGCCUCCAUGUUUUCUAGGAUGAUGCAAUGUCCAGCCAUCAACACAUUUGUGAAGGAGUUUUUUCUCGUUAAAAGAGCGCCCCCCCAUGGCAGGAGAAUAAAGUCAAGUUUUUCCUGUUCAUCAUUCAAUGGCUCAAACACACUGCUCUCUCGGCAAAAGCGAAAGGAGGAGCAACUUGCCAUUUGGAUAUAUCUUAGCUGUGUUUGUGCCCUCACUCAUGGUCCAGACUUUUUUCAAAUAGGACAUGGAGUUUUUCUGCAGCGAGCGCUUUGGUAGAAACUGCGCCUCCCGUUCAUUAUAAUGGUAAAUGACCACAAACAAGUGCGCACACCAUCUUUGGACCUUGAGUGUGACGCGAUCGGGUGGGGGAGGCGGUCGCGCUGGGGGCGGCGUGACACGGCUCGGGCCCGCCAGUGCCCCAACGGGGCCCUAGUUUGUUAUUAUUAUUAUUAUUAUUAUUUUUCCUCCCCUUUGAACUGGAAAAUGGCCCACUUCCCACUGGCGAAAACUCAUGAAAUUUGGCAGGACGACCGGGCCUGGUGAAAAAUUUGAUAUUCCGAAGUCGCCCAAACAAGAAAAAGCAAAAUGGCUCCAUAGCGCCCCCUACGGUGAAAAUUCACACUAUUCACUGUCACGCCUGUACGCUUUGUCAAAAUGACACAAAAAUUGACACACACAUGUAUCUCAAUAAGCUCUACAAAAAAGUCAGUGCGGGCGUAUCUGUCAAAUGUACGGUUAAAGGGUUAUUUCGCAUUUUUUGCCGAUCCGCACACAUUGGAAUUUCGCUAACUCCUCCGAAGGCUUUCGUUCCACCGGCACCACAUUUGCUCAGGCCAAUCUACACCCCAUGGCCAUUAAAAGUUAUUCAAAUCAUGACGCUGCACCCCACGGUUUACGUUCUAGGGGGCGCCAAAGAUAACCCAAAAAUCCACAUUUUUAAAAGUCUUAUAACUUUUUAUUUUUGUCCUCACUGGCCUCCAAGUUUUCUAGGAUGAUGCAAUGUCCAGCCAUCAACACAUUUGUGAAGGAAUUUUUACUCCCCAAAAGAGCGCCCCCCCAUGGCAGGAGAAAAAAGUCCAUUUUUUCUUGUCCCCUAAGGUGAAAAUUCACACUAUUGACUGUCACGCCUGUACGCUUUGUCAAAAUGACACAAAAAUUGACACACACAUGUAUCUCAAUAAGAUCUACAAAAAAGUCCAUGCGCGCGUAUCUGUCUAAUGUACGGUUAAAGGGUUAUUUCGCAUUUUUUGCCGAUCCGCACACAUUGGAAUUUCGCUAACUCCUCCGAAGGCUUUCGUUCCACCGGCACCACAUUUGCUCAGGCCAAUCUACACCCCAUGGCCAUUAAAAGUUAUUCAAAUCAUGACGCUGCACCCCACGGUUUACGUUCUAGGGGGCGCCAAAGAUAACCCAAAAAUCCACAUUUUUAAAAGUCUUAUAACUUUUUAUUUUUGUCCUCACUGGCCUCCAAGUUUUCUAGGAUGAUACAAUGUCCAGCCAUCAACACAUUUGUGAAGGAAUUUUUACUCCCCAAAAGAGCGCCCCCCCAUGGCAGGAGAAAAAAGUCCAUUUUUUCUUGUCCCCUAAGGUGAAAAUACACAUUGUUGACUGUCACGCCUGUACGCUUUGGCAAAAUGACACAAAAAUUGACAAUCAUGUGUAUCUCAAUUAGAUCUACGAAAAAGUCAAAGAGCGCGUAUCUGUAUAAUGUACGGUAAAAGGGCUAUUUUGCAUUUUUUGCCGAUUCGCACACAUUGGAAUUUCGCUAACUCCUCCUAAGGCUUUCGUCCCACUGACACCAAAUUUGCUCAGGCCAAUCUACACUCCAUGGCCAUUCAAAGUUGUAAAAAUCAUGACGCUGCACCCCACGGUUUACGUUUUAGGGGGCGCCAAAGAUGACCCAAAAAUCCACAUUCUUAAAAGAAUCCACAUCCCCCCCCCAUCCCCCAUCCCCCAUGGCAGGAGAAACAGUCAAGUUUUUCCUGCCCAUCACUCAAUGGCUCAAUCGCAUCGCUCUCCCGGCAACACCGUAAGGAGGAGCAAUCUGCCAUUUGGAUAUAUCCUAGCUGUGUUUGUGCCCUCACUCAUGGUCCAGACUUUUUUCAAAUAGGACAUGUAGUUUGUCUGCAGCGAGUGUUUUGGUAGAAACUGCGCCUCCCAUUCAUUUUAAUGGGAAAUGACCACAGACAAGUGCGCACACCAUCUUUGGACCUUGAGUGUGACGCGAUCGGGAGGGGGAGGCGGUCGCGCUGGGGGCGGCGCAACGCGGCUCGGGCCCGACAGUGCCCCACCGGGGCCCUAGUUCUUCUUUUUCCUCCCCUUUGAACUGGAAAAUGGCCCACUUCCCACUGGCGAAAACUCAUGAAAUUUGGCAGGACGACCGGGCCUGGUGAAAAAUUCGAUAUUCUGAAGUCGCCCAAACAAUAAAAUGCAAAAUGGCUCCAUAGCGCCCCCUAAGGUGGAAAUUCACACUAUUGACUGUCACGCCUGUACGCUUUGUCAUAUUGACACAAAAAUUGACACACAUAUGUAUCUCAAUAAGAUCUACAAAAAAGUCAGUGCGGCCGUAUCUGUCAAAUGUACGGUUAAAGGGUUAUUUCGCAUUUUUUGCCGAUCCGCACACAUUGGAAUUUCGCUAACUCCUCCGAAGGCUUUCGUUCCACCGGCACCACAUUUGCUCAGGCCAAUCUACACCCCAUGGCCAUUAAAAGUUAUUCAAAUCAUGAUGCUGCACCCCAUGGUUUAGGUUCUAGGGGGCGCCAAAAAUAACCCAAAAAUCCACAUUCUUAAAAGUUUUAUAACUUUUUAUUUUUGUCCUCACUGGCCUCCAAGUUUUCUAGGAUGAUGCAAUGUCCAGCCAUCAACACAUUUGUGAAGGAAUUUUUACUCCCCAAAAGAGCGCCCCCCCAUGGCAGGAGAAAAAAGUCCAUUUUUUCUUGUCCCCUAAGGUGAAAAUACACAUUGUUGAGUGUCACGCCUAUACGCUUUGUCAAAAUGACACAAAAAUUGACACACACAUGUAACUCAAUAAGAUCUACAAAAAAGUCCAUGCGCGCGUAUCUGUCAAAUGUACAGUUAAAGGGUUAUUCCGCAUUUUUUGCCGAUACGCACACAUUGGAAUUUCGCUAACUCCUCCGAAGGCUUUCGUUCCACCGGCACCACAUUUGCUUAGGCCAAUCUACACCCCAUGGCCAUUAAAAGUUAUUCAAAUCAUGAUGCUGCACCCCAUGGUUUAGGUUCUAGGGGGCGCCAAAAAUAACCCAAAAAUCCACAUUCUUAAAAGUUUUAUAACUUUUUAUUUUUGUCCUCACUGGCCUCCAAGUUUUCUAGGAUGAUGCAAUGUCCAGCCAUCAACACAUUUGUGAAGGAAUUUUUACUCCCCAAAAGAGCGCCCCCCCAUGGUAGGAGAAAAAAGUCAAUUUUUUCUUGUCCCCUUACAUAAAAAUACACAUUGUUGAGUGUCACGCCUGAACGCUUUGUCAUAUUGACACAAAAAUUGACAAUCAUGUGUAUCUCAAUUAGAUCUACGAAAAAGUCAAAGAGCGCGUAUCUGUAUAAUGUACGGUUAAAGGGCUAUUUUGCAUUUUUUGCCGAUUCGCACACAUUGGAAUGUGGCUAUCUCCUCCUAAGGCUUUCGUCCCACCGAUACCAAAUUUGCUCAGGGCAAUCUACACCCCAUGCCCAUUCAAAGUUGUAAAAAUCAUGACGCUGCACCCCACGGUUUACGUUCUAGGGGGCGCCAAAGAUGACCCAAAAAUCCACAUUCUUAAAAGUCAUUUUGGCCACUGCAGGAGUACAGAGUACUGCAGUUCUAGGGGGCGCCAAAGAUGACCCAAAAAUCCACAUUCUUAAAAGUCUUUUUGGCCACUGCAGGAGUACAGAGUACUGCAGGAUACACACACAUAUACACACACGCCAACAUACACACACACACACACACACACACACACACACACACACACAGACACACACACACACUCAGAGUCUGUUUUUUAGCACCUGCAAAAACAUGCUGUUUACAUAUUUGACAAGAAUGCAGAGGCUUCCUUUUGCCCCUGAAAAAAAUCAAAUUUCAAACACAACUUGACUGUUCAUUUCUCCAAAAGACAACCAUGAAGCUCCAUUUCAAACCUGAAGCAGAUAGUUGGUGCAUGUGUACAGUAACCUGAGGGGAGUGAGGUGACUAUUUCUGAGGAGAACAUGAGCAGUGAAGAUUCACCUUGGAGCUAGAACAGGGACGUGCACAUGAUUAUACAGGGGCAGGGGCUCAAGUUUUUUCCAGUCAUUUAUACAAUAUGGAAAUUAAUGUGAAAUUAAACCACAAAUAUGUGUGAUGAACUGUUUUUAAAACUUAAACUUCAAAUAAAAAUUGUAAACUUCAAAACAUAUGCAAAUUUUUAACAAAGAACAUAGUGAUUUACCUCUAUUUACAUCAAAAUGCAGGCAAUGGCCCAGGCGUUCUUUGUAAAAUUAUUUACAAAACACUGUAUAGUCUCACAAAUGUCACUUUUUAUUUAUGCCACUACAAAAAAACAUGAUGUAAAUGAUGCAUGAUGUAAAACAUGAUGUAAAAAACUUGUGUAGAUCCUCCUCUAUGUCAGUCCAUGUGUAAUUUUUCCAUAAUUCUUUGUUUUUUGCAGCAUUUUUGUUAGUGUAACUGCAGAUUGUGCUGACAGUGUCUAUGGCACAAAAAAAAAAAAAAUUUAAAAUGCCUCAACAUGAACCCCUGGUGGUCUCUGAGGGUGAAACCUGCUAACUGCUGCAGCUCUGUCAGCUUCAGUCUCCCAUGCAGAGCUCUGAGCGCAUGUGUGGCUCUGCACCCUUAGCAGCGUUGCUAACUCCUCAGUAAGGAAAGCCUGCUUCAUGUCAGAGUCUCUAAACUCCAGAAGAAGUCGAUAAAAGUCCCUUUCUUUCUAAAAAAAAGUCGUUAGGGGGUCUGAAAAGUCAUUGAAUCUAACAACAAAGUCGCUAGGUUUGCAACUACGUGUCCCAGACUGCAUCCCUGCUGAGAGUCCCUCCCUCCCUUCUCAUGUUGCAGGAAGAACGUAAGCACCCUCCCCUUGUCAAUCAGUCAACAUAUAAUUUUGGAUUGGUUGUUGUGGUGAAGUUUUCCACCAAUAGGAGAGAUGUUGUGGUGUGUUUUUUUUUUCUUUUGGCAAGCCUUUUCCGCCUGUAAGACCUGUCGCUAAUGUCUGCAUGCUAUGUUUUCCUGUCUCAUACAGCGCGAUCGAGCGCCGAACGUGAUCAAAAUAAGCAGAAAAAAAGUAUCGCGGACAUAAUUUAUCAUAACUCUGGUUUUAUUUGGCCUAUCAACACAAUUUAAAAACUGGUAUAUAGGUUGAGGUCCUCACUUUUGAGAUAAGUUGAAACGGAGAGUCAACGAGGCUCCGUCUUGCAGCUACAUCCGGUUAAAUAUGUCAUGUGACUUGAACGCACACACAGACACACACACAGGCACACACACACACACACACACACUCAGAGUCUGGUUUUUAGCACCUGCAAAAACAUGCUAUUUACAUAUUUGACAAGAAUGCAGAGGCUCCUUUUGCCCCUGAAAAAAAUCAAAUUUCAAACACAACUUGACUGGUCAUUUCUCCAAAAGACAACCAUGAAGCUCCAUCCAAACCUGAAGCAGGUAGUUGGUGCAUGUGUACAGUAACCUGAGGGGAGUGAGGUGAGUGCUUCUGAGGAGAACAUGAGCUGUGAAGAUUCACCUUGGAGCUAGAACAGAGACAUGCACAUGAUUAUACAGGGGCAGGGGCUCAAGUUUUUUCCAGUCGUUUAUACAAUAUGGAAAUUAAUGUGAAAUUAAAACACAAAGUAUUAAUAGAAAGGUAAUGACUGUCCUGUGUAAGUGACAGUGAUAUCCAAUAGGCUAGGCACUCACGAGGCUGGCUGUGGCAAGUGUAAGUGAAAGCAACACGCACUGGCAAGAAGAACAGCAAACGCCGAUGAAGGAAAAGGGUCUUUGCAGUGAUGGGCGUUACCAGAGAGGGCGAUGGCCAGAGGACACAAAUGGGACGGGGAGGCAGCACGUUUGGGGGGGGGGGACGCGACACGGCUCGGGCCCGCCAGUGCCCCAACGGGGUCCUAGUUAUUAUUUUUCUGCCCCUUUGAACUGGAAAAUGGCCCACUUCCCACUGGUGAAAAGUCAUGAAAUUUGGCAGGACGACCGGGCCUGGUGAAAAAUUCGAUAUUCUGAAGUCGCCCAAAAAAUCAAAUGCAAAAUGGCUCCAUAGCGCCCCCUAAGGUGAAAAAUUCACAUGAUUGAGUGUCACGCCUGUACGCUUUGUCAAAAUGACACAAAAUUUGACACACACGUGUAUCUCAAUAAGAUCUACAAAAAAGUCAGUCCGGGCGUAUCUGUCAAAUGUACGGUUAAAGGGCUAUUUCGCAUUUUUUGCCGAUCCGCACACAUUGGAAUUUCGCUAACUCCUCCGAAGGCUUUCGUUCCACCGGCACCAAAUUUGCUCAGGCCAAUCUACACCCCAUGGCCAUUAAAAGUUGUACAAAUCAUGAUGCUGCAUCCCACGGUUUACGUUCUAGGGGGCGCCAAAGAUAACCCAGAAAUCCACAUUCUUAAAAGUCGUAUAACUUUUUAUUUUUGUCCUCACUGGCCUCCAAGUUUUCUAGGAUGAUGCAAUGUCUAGCCAUCAACACAUUUGUGAAGGAAUUUUUACUCCCCAAAAGAGCGCCCCCCCAUGGCAGGAGAAAAAAGUCCAGUUUUUCUUCCCCCUAAGGUGAAAAUUCACAUUAUUGAGUGUCACGCCUGUACGCUUUGUCAUAUUGUAACAAACUUUGACAAUCACGUGUUUCUCAAUAAGAUCUACGAAAUAGUCAAUGGGCGCGUAUCUGUAAAAUGUACGGUUAAAGGGCUAUUUCGCAUUUUUGGUCGAUUCGCACACAUUGGAAUGUGGCUAACUCCUCCUAAAUAUUUCGUUCCACUGACACCAAAUUUACUCAGGCCAAUCUACAUUCCAUGGCCAUUCAAAGUUGUAAAAAUCAUGACGCUGCACCCCACGGUUUAUGUUCUAGGGGGCGCCAAAGAUAACCCAAAAAUCCACAUUCUUAAAAGUCUUAUAACUUUUUAUUUUUGUCCUCACUGGCCUCCAAGUUUUCUAGGAUGAUGCAAUGUCUAGCCAUCAACACAUUUGUGAAGGAAUUUUUACUCCCUAAAAGAGCGCCCCCCCAUGGCAGGAGAAAAAGUCAAGUUUUUCCUGCCCAUCGCUCAAUGACUCAAACACAUCGCUCUCUCGGCAAAACCGAAAGGAGGAGCAACUUGCCAUUUGGAUAUAUCCUAGCUGUGUUUGUGCCCUCACUCAUGGUCCAGUCCUUUUCAAAUAGGACACGUAGUUUGUCUGCGGCGAGCGUUUUGGUAGAAACUGCGCCUCCCAUUCAUUAUAAUUGUAAAUGACCACAGACAAGUGCGCACACCAUCUUUGGACCUUGAGUGUGACGCGAUCGGUAGGGAGAGGCGGUCGUGUUGGGGGCGGCGCGACACGGCUCGGGCCCGCCAGUGCCCCAACGGGGCCCUAGUUCUUCUUAUUUUUCCUCCCCUUUGAAGGGGAAAAUGGCCCACUUCCCACUGGCGAAAACUCAUGACAUUUGGCAGGAUGACCGGGCCUGGUGAAAAAUUCGAUAUUCUGAAGUCGCCCAAACAAUAAAAUGCAAAAUGGCUCCAUAGCGCCCCCUAAGGUGAAAAUUCACACUAUUGACUGUCACGCCUGUACGCUUUGUCAUAUUGACACAAAAAUUGACACACACAUGUAUCUCAAUACGAUCUACAAAAAAGUCAGUGUGGGCGUAUCUGUCAAAUGUACGGUUAAAGGGUUAUUUCGCAUUUUUUACCGAUCCGCACACAUUGGAAUUUCGCUAACUCCUCCGAAGGCUUUCGUUCCACCGGCACCAAAUUUGCUCAGGCCAAUCUACACCCCAUGGCCAUUAAAAGUUGUACAAAUCAUGACGCUGCACCCCACGGUUUAGGUUCUAGGGGGCGCCAAAGAUAACCCAAAAAUCCACAUUCUUAAAAGUCUUAUAACUUUUUAUUUUUGUCCUCACUGGCCUCCAAGUUCUCUAGGAUGAUGCAAUGUCCAGCAAUUAACACAUUUGUGAAGGAAUUUUUACUCGCCAAAAGAGCGCCCCCCCAUGGCAGGAGAAAAAAGUCCAUUUUUUUCUUGUCCCCUAAGGCGAAUAUACACAUUGUUGAGUGUCACGCCUGUACGCUUUGUCAUAUUGACACAAAAUUUGGCAAUCACGUGUAUCUCAAUAAGAUCUACGAAAAAGUCAAUGUGCACGUAUCUGUAAAAUGUACGGUUAAAGGGCUAUUUCGCAUUUUUUGCCGAUUCGCACACAUUGGAAUGUGGCUAACUCCUCCUAAGGCUUUCGUCCCACUGACACCAAAUUUGCUCAGGCCAAUCUAAACCCCAUGGCCAUUCAAAGUUGUAAAUAUCAUGACGCUGCACCCCACGGUUUACGUUCUAGGGGGCGCCAAAGAGGACCCAAAUAUCCACAUUUUUAAAAGUCUUAUAACUUUAUUUUUGUCCUCACUGGCCUCCAAGUUUUCUAGGAUGAUGCAAUGUUCAGUCAUCAACACAUUUGUGAAGGAAUUUUUUCUCCCCAAAAGAGCGCCCUCCCAUGGCAGGAGAAAAAGUCAAGUUUUUCCUGCCCAUCGCUCAAUGGCUCAAACGCAUCGCUCUCUCGGCAAAACCGAAAGGAGGAGCACCUUGCCAUUUGGAUAUAUCAUAGCUGUGUUUGUGCCCUCACUCAUGGUCCAGACUUUUUUCAAAAAGGACAUGGAGUUUGUCUGCAGCGAGCGUUUUGGUAGAAACUGCGCCUCCCAUUCAUUAUAAUGGUAAAUGACCACAGACAAGUGCGCACACCAUCUUUGGACCUUGAGUGUGACGCGAUCGGGAGGGGUAGGCGGUCGCGCUGGGGGCGGCGCGACACGGCUCGGGCCCGCCAGUGCCCCAACGGGGCCCUAGUUUUUUCUUUUUCCUCCCCUUUGAACUGGAAAAUGGCCCACUUCCCACUGGCGAAAACUCAGGAAAUUUGGCAGGACGACCGGGCCUGGUGAAAAAUUUGAUAUUCCGAAGUCGCCCAAACAAGAAAAUGCAAAAUGGCUCCAUAGCGCCCCCUAAGGUGAAAAUUCACAUGACGGCUGUACGCUUUGUCAUAUUGACACAAAAAUUGACACACACAUGUAUCUCAAUAAGAUCUACAAAAAAGUCAGUGCGGGCGUAUCUGUCAAAUGUACGGUUAAUGGGUUAUUUUGCAUUUUUUGCAGAUCUGCACACAUUGGAAUUUCGCUAACUCCUCCGAAGGCUUUCGUUCCACCGGCACCACAUUUGCUCAGGCCAAUCUACACCCCAUGGCCAUUAAAAGUUAUUCAAAUCAUGACGCUGCACCCCACGGUUUAGGUUCUAGGGGGCGCCAAAAAUAACCCUAAAAUCCACAUAUUUAAAAGUCUUAUAACUUUUUAUUUUUGUCCUCACUGGCCUCCAAGUUUUCUAGGAUGAUGCAAUGUCCAGCCAUCAACACAUUUGUGAAGGAAUUUUUACUCCCCAAAAGAGCGCCCCCCCAUGGCAGGAGAAAAAAGUCCAUUUUUUCUUGUCCCCUAAGGUGAAAAUACACAUUGUUGAGUGUCACGCCUUUACGCUUUGGCAAAAUGACACAAAAAUUUACACACACAUGUAUCUCUAUAAGAUCUACAAAAAAGUCUAUGAGCGCGUAUCUGUCAAAUGUACGGUUAAAGGGUUAUUCCGCAUUUUUUGCCGAUACGCACACAUUGGAAUGUGGCUAACUCCUCCGAAGGCUUUCGUUCCACCGGCACCACAUUUGCUCAGGCCAAUCUACACCCCAUGGCCAUUAAAAGUUAUUCAAAUCAUGACGCUGCACCCCACGGUUUAGGUUCUAGGGGGCGCCAAAGAUAACCCUAAAAUCCACAUUUUUAAAAGUCUUAUAACUUUUUAUUUUUGCCCUCACUGGCCUCCAAGUUUUCUAGGAUGAUGCAAUGUCCAGCCAUCAACACAUUUGUGAAGGAAUUUUUACUCCCCAAAAGAGCGCCCCCCCAUGGCAGGAGAAAAAAGUCCAUUUUUUUCUUGUCCCCUAAGGUGAAAAUACACAUUGUUGAGUGUCACGCCUGUACGCUUUGUCAAAAUGACACAAAAAUUGACACACACAUGUAUCUCAAUAAGAUCUACAAAAAAGUCAAUGCGCGCGUAUCUGUCUAAUGUACGGUUAAAGGGUUAUUCCGCAUUUUUUGCCGAUUCGCACACAUUGGAAUUUCGCUAACUCCUCCGAAGGCUUUCGUUCCACCGGCACCACAUUUGCUCAGGCCAAAUUACACCCCAUGGCCAUUAAAAGUUAUUCAAAUCAUGACGCUGCACCCCACGGUUUACGUUCUAGGGGGCGCCAAAGAUAACCCAAAAAUCCACAUUUUUAAAAGUCUUAUAACUUUUUAUUUUUGUCCUCACUGGCCUCCAAGUUUUCUAGGAUGAUGCAAUGUCCAGCCAUCAACACAUUUGUGAAGGAAUUUUUACUCCCCAAAAGAGCGCCCCCCAUGGCAGGAGAAAAAAGUCCAUUUUUUCUUGUCCCCUAAGGUGAAAAUACACAUUGUUGACUGUCACGCCUGUACGCUUUGGCAAAAUGACACAAAAAUUGACAAUCAUGUGUAUCUCAAUUAGAUCUACGAAAAAGUCAAAGAGCGCGUAUCUGUAUAAUGUACGGUAAAAGGGCUAUUUUGCAUUUUUUGCCGAUUCGCACACAUUGGAAUUUCGCUAACUCCUCCUAAGGCUUUCGUCCCACUGACACCAAAUUUGCUCAGGCCAAUCUACACUCCAUGGCCAUUCAAAGUUGUAAAAAUCAUGACGCUGCACCCCACGGUUUACGUUUUAGGGGGCGCCAAAGAUGACCCAAAUAUACAUUACAGUAGACAAAGUAGUUUUGCCCACUGAGUGGCGGCAAAGGGACUUGUCUGUGGAGUCUGUGAGUCACUAUUGGCCGUUUUUGACUACUUUAGAUUUUACCUUUAUAUUUCCUCUUACAAAAUUUUUACCUUGCCUUGCCUGGUAUCAUUUUUUUCAGCACAACCUCACCUGUGUCAAUUUACAGUUAUUUUAUCAUUUUGACAUACUAUAUUUACACAUUGGACCCAAAUUCACACACAAAACAUAAAAUCCGAGUGGAAAAAAGUAACGUUUUUACUGUGAAAACCACAAAUAUGUGUGAUGAACUGUUUUUAAAACUUAAACUUCAAAUAAAAAUUGUAAACUUCAAAACAUAUGCAAAUUUUUAACAAAGAACAUAGUAAUUUACCUCUAUUGACAUCAAAAUGCAGGCAAUGGCCCAGGUGUUCUUUGUAAAAUUAUUUACAAAACACUGUAUAGUCUCACAAAUGUCACUUUUUAUUUAUGCCACUACAAAAAAACAUGAUGUAAAUGAUGCAUGAUGUAAAACAUGAUGUAAAAAACUUGUGUAGAUCCUCCUCUAUGUUAGUCCAUGUGUAAUUUUUCCAUAAUUCUUUGUUUUUUGCAGCAUUUUUGUUAGUGUAACUGCAGAUUGUGCUGACAGUGUCUAUGGCAAAAAAAAAAAAAAAAUUAAAAUGCCUCAACAUGAACCCCUGGUGGUCUCUGAAGGUGAAACCUGCUAACUGCUGCAGCUCUGUCAGCUUCAGUCUCCCAUGCAGAGCUCGGAGCGCAUGUGUGGCUCUGCACCCUUAGCAGCGUUGCUAACUCCUCAGUAAGGAAAGCCUGCUUCAUGUCAGAGUCUCUAAACUCCAGAAGAAGUCGAUAAAAGUCACUUUCUUUCUAAAAAAAAGUCGUUAGGGGGUCUGAAAAGUCAUUGAAUCUAACAACAAAGUCGCUAGGUUUGCAACUACGUGUCCCAGACUGCAUCCCUGCUGAGAGUCCCUCCCUCCCUUCUCAUAUUGCAGGAAGAACGUAAGUUCCCGCCCCUUGUCAAUCAGUCACCAUAUAAUUUUGGAUUGGUUGUUGUGGUGAAGUUUUCCACCAAUAGGAGAGAUGUUGUGGUGUGUUUUUUUUUCCUUUGGCAAGCCUUUUCCGCCUGUAAGACCUGUCGCUAAUGUCUGCAUGCUAUGUUUUCCUGUCUCAUACAGCGCGAUCGAGCGCCGAACGUGAUCAAAAUAAGCAGAAAACAAGUAUCGUGGACAUAAUUUAUCAUAACUCUGGUUUUAUUUGGCCUAUCAACACAAUUUAAAAACUGGUAUAUAGGUUGAGGUCCUCACUUUUGAGAUAAAUUGAAACGGAGAGUCAACGAGGCUCCGUCUUGCAGCUACAUCCGGUUAAAUAUGUCAUGUGACUUGAACGCACACACACACACACACACACACACACACACACACACACAAACACACGCACACACACACACUCAGAGUCUGGUUUUUAGCACCUGCAAAAACAUGCUAUUUACAUAUUUGACAAGAAUGCAGAGGCUCCUUUUGCCCCUGAAAAAAAUCAAAUUUCAAACACAACUUGACUGGUCAUUUCUCCAAAAGACAACCAUGAAGCUCCAUCCAAACCUGAAGCAGGCAGUUGGUGCAUGUGUACAGUAACCUGAGGGGAGUGAGGUGACUGCUUCUGAGGAGAACAUGAGCAGUGAAGAUUCACCUUAGAGCUAGAACAGAGACGUGCACAUGAUUAUACAGGGGCAGGGGCUCAAGUUUUUUCCAGUUGUUUAUACAAUAUGGAAAUUAAUGUGAAAUUAAAAAACAAAGUAUUAAUAGAAAGGUAAUGACUGUCCUGUGUAGGUGACAGUGAUAUCCAAUAGGCUAGGCACUCACGAGGCUGGCUGUGGCAAGUGUAAGUGAAAGCAACACGCACUGGCAGGAAGAACAGCAAACGCCGAUGAAGGAAAAGGGUCUUUGCAGUGAUGGGCGUUACCAGAGAGGGCGAUGGCCAGAGGACACAAAUGGGACGGGGAGGCAGCGCGUUGGGGGGGGGACGCGACACAGCUCGGGCCCGCCAGUGCCCCAACGGGGUCCUAGUUAGGGCCCGAGCGUAGCUGCUAAGCAGCUGCGAGAGCCCUCUUGUUCCUGCAUGUUUCCUUCUUUCGUUAUUAUUUUUCCUCCGCUUUAAACUGGAAAAUGGCCCACUUCCCACUGGCGAAAACUCAGGAAAUUUGGCAGGACGACCGGGCCUGGUGAAAAAUUCGAUAUUCUGAAGUCGCCCAAACAAUAAAAUGCAAAAUGGCUCCAUAGCGCCCCCUAAGGUGAAAAUUCACAUGACGGCUGUACGCUUUGUCAUAUUGACACAAAAAUUGACACACAUAUGUAUCUCAAUAAGAUCUACAAAAAAGUCAGUGUGGGCGUAUCUGUCAAAUGUACGGUUAAUGGGUUAUUUUGCAUUUUUUGCAGAUCUGCACACAUUGGAAUUUCGCUAACUCCUCCGAAGGCUUUCGUUCGACCGGCACCACAUUUGCGCAGGCCAAUCUACCCCCCAUGGCCAUUAAAAGUUGUACAAAUCAUGUCGCUGCACCCCACGGUUUAUGUUCUAGGGGGCGCCAAAGAUAACCCAAAAUCCACAUUCUUAAAAGUCUUAUAACUUUUUAUUUUUGUCCUCACUGCCCUCCAAGUUUUCUAGGAUGAUGCAAUGUCCAGCCAAUAACACAUUUGUGAAGGAAUUUUUACUCCCCAAAAGAGCGCCCCCCCAUGGCAGGAGAAAAAAGUCAAUUUUUUCUUGUCCCCUUACAUGAAAACACACAUUGUUGAGUGUCACGCCUGAACGCUUUGUCAUAUUGACACAAAAAUUGACAAUCAUGUGUAUCUCAAUUAGAUCUACGAAAAAGUCAAAAAGCGCGUAUCUGUAUAAUGUACGGUUAAAGGGCUAUUUCGCAUUUUUUGCCGAUUCGCACACAUUGGAAUGUGGCUAUCUCCUCCUAAGGCUUUCGUCCCACCGAUACCAAAUUUGCUCAGGGCAAUCUACAUCCCAUGCCCAUUCAAAGUUGUAAAAAUCAUGACGCUGCACCCCACGGUUUACGUUCUAGGGGGCGCCAAAGAUGACCCAAAAAUCCACAUUCUUAAAAGUCAUUUUGGCCACUGCAGGAGUACAGAGUACUGCAGUUCUAGGGGGCGCCAAAGAUGACCCAAAAAUCCACAUUCUUAAAAGUCUUUUUGGCCACUGCAGGAGUACAGAGUACUGCAGGAUACACACACAUACACACACACACACACACACACACACACACACACACACACACACACACACACACACACACACUCAGAGUCUGUUUUUUAGCACCUGCAAAAACAUGCUAUUUACAUAUUUGACAAGAAUGCAGAGGCUUCCUUUUGCCGCUGAAAAAAAUCAUAUUUCAAACACAACUUGACUGUUCAUUUCUCCAAAAGACAACCAUGAAGCUCCAUCCAAACCUGAAGCAGGCAGUUGGUGCAUGUGUACAGUAACCUGAGGGGAGUGAGGUGAGUGCUUCUGAGGAGAACAUGAGCAGUGAAGAUUCACCUUGGAGCUAGAACAGAGACAUGCACAUGAUUAUACAGGGGCAGGGGCUCAAGUUUUUUCCAGUUGUUUAUACAAUAUGGAAAUUAAUGUGAAAUUAAAACACAAAGUAUUAAUAGAAAGGUAAUGACUGUCCUGUGUAGGUGACAGUGAUAUCCAAUAGGCUAGGCACUCACGAGGCUGGCUGUGGCAAGUGUAAGUGAAAGCAACACGCACUGGCAGGAAGAACAGCAAACGCCGAUGAAGGAAAAGGGUCUUUGCAGUGAUGGGCGUUACCAGAGAGGGCGAUGGCCAGAGGACACAAAUGGGACGGGGAGGCAGCACGUUGGGGGGGGGGACGCGACACGGCUCGGGCCCGCCAGUGCCCCAACGGGGUCCUAGUUAUUAUUAGGGCCCGAGCGUAGCUGCUAAGCAGCUGCGAGAGCCCUAUUAUUCCCCAAGUGGUUUUUCUUUGUUAGGGCCCGAGCGUAGCUGCUAAGCAGCUGCGAGAGCCCUAUUAUUCCUGAUGGAUUCUUCUUUCUUCUUCUUCUUAUUAGGGCCCGAGCCAGCUGCAGAGCAGCCGGGCGUAGGCCCUAUUAUUCCCCAAGUGGUUUUUCUUUGUUUCUUUCUUUCUUUCUUUCUUUCUUCUUUUUCCUCCCCUUUGAACUGGAAAAUGGCCCACUUCCCACUGGCGAAAACUCAUGAAAUUUGGCAGGACGACCGGGCCUGGUGAAAAAUUUGAUAUUCUGAAGUCGCCCAAACAUUAAAAUGCAAAAUGGCUCCAUAGCGCCCCCUAAGGUGGAAAUUCACACUAUUGACUGUCACGCCUGUACGCUUUGUCAUAUUGACACAAAAAUUGACACACAUAUGUAUCUCAAUAAGAUCUACAAAAAAGUCAGUGCGGCCGUAUCUGUCAAAAUUACGGUUAAAGGGUUAUUUCGCAUUUUUUGCCGAUCCGCACACAUUGGAAUUUCGCUAACUCCUCCGAAGGCUUUCGUUCCACCAGCACCACAUUUGCUCAGGCCAAUCUACACCCCGUGGCCAUUAAAAGUUAUCAAAAUCAUGACGCUGCACCCCAAGGUUUAGGUUCUAGGGGGCGCCAAAGAUAACACUAAAAUCCACAUAUUUAAAAGUCUUAUAACUUUUUAUUUUUGUCCUCACUGGCCUCCAAGUUUUCUAGGAUGAUGCAAUGUCCAGCCAUCAACACAUUUGUGAAGGAAUUUUUACUCCCCAAAAGAGCGCCCCCCCAUGGCAGGAGAAAAAAGUCCAUUUUUUCUUGUCCCCUAAGGUGAAAAUACACAUUGUUGAGUGUCACGCCUAUACGCUUUGUCAAAAUGACACAAAAAUUGACACACACAUGUAACUCAAUAAGAUCUACAAAAAAGUCCAUGCGCGCGUAUCUGUCAAAUGUACAGUUAAAGGGUUAUUCCGCAUUUUUUGCCGAUACGCACACAUUGGAAUUUCGCUAACUCCUCCGAAGGCUUUCGUUCCACCGGCACCACAUUUGCUCAGGCCAAUCUACACCCCAUGGCCAUUAAAAGUUAUUCAAAUCAUGAUGCUGCACCCCACGGUUUAGGUUCUAGGGGGCGCCAAAGAUAACCCAAAAAUCCACAUUCUUAAAUGUUUUAUAACUUUUUAUUUUUGUCCUCACUGGCCUCCAAGUUUUCUAGGAUGAUGCAAUGUCCAGCCAUCAACACAUUUGUGAAGGAAUUUUUACUCCCCAAAAGAGCGCCCCCCCAUGGUAGGAGAAAAAAGUCAAUUUUUUCUUGUCCCCUUACAUAAAAAUACACAUUGUUGAGUGUCACGCCUGAACGCUUUGUCAUAUUGACACAAAAAUUGACAAUCAUGUGUAUCUCAAUUAGAUCUACGAAAAAGUCAAAGAGCGCGUAUCUGUAUAAUGUACGGUUAAAGGGCUAUUUUGCAUUUUUUGCCGAUUCGCACACAUUGGAAUGUGGCUAUCUCCUCCUAAGGCUUUCGUCCCACCGAUACCAAAUUUGCUCAGGGCAAUCUACACCCCAUGCCCAUUCAAAGUUGUAAAAAUCAUGACGCUGCACCCCACGGUUUACGUUCUAGGGGGCGCCAAAGAUGACCCAAAAAUCCACAUUCUUAAAAGUCAUUUUGGCCACUGCAGGAGUACAGAGUACUGCAGUUCUAGGGGGCGCCAAAGAUGACCCAAAAAUCCACAUUCUUAAAAGUCUUUUUGGCCACUGCAGGAGUACAGAGUACUGCAGGAUACACACACAUAUACACACACGCCAACAUACACACAUACACACACACACACACACACACACACACAGACACACACACACACUCAGAGUCUGUUUUUUAGCACCUGCAAAAACAUGCUGUUUACAUAUUUGACAAGAAUGCAGAGGCUUCCUUUUGCCCCUGAAAAAAAUCAAAUUUCAAACACAACUUGACUGUUCAUUUCUCCAAAAGACAACCAUGAAGCUCCAUUUCAAACCUGAAGCAGAUAGUUGGUGCAUGUGUACAGUAACCUGAGGGGAGUGAGGUGACUAUUUCUGAGGAGAACAUGAGCAGUGAAGAUUCACCUUGGAGCUAGAACAGGGACGUGCACAUGAUUAUACAGGGGCAGGGGCUCAAGAUUUUUCCAGUCAUUUAUACAAUAUGGAAAUUAAUGUGAAAUUAAACCACAAAUAUGUGUGAUGAACUGUUUUUAAAACUUAAACUUCAAAUAAAAAUUGUAAACUUCAAAACAUAUGCAAAUUUUUAACAAAGAACAUAGUAAUUUACCUCUAUUUACAUCAAAAUGCAGGCAAUGGCCCAGGCGUUCUUUGUAAAAUUAUUUACAAAACACUGUAUAGUCUCACAAAUGUCACUUUUUAUUUAUGCCACUACAAAAAAACAUGAUGUAAAUGAUGCAUGAUGUAAAACAUGAUGUAAAAAACUUGUGUAGAUCCUCCUCUAUGUCAGUCCAUGUGUAAUUUUUCCAUAAUUAUUUGUUUUUUGCAGCAUUUUUGUUAGUGUAACUGCAGAUUGUGCUGACAGUGUCUAUGGCACAAAAAAAAAAAAAAUUAAAAUGCCUCAACAUGAACCCCUGGUGGUCUCUGAGGGUGAAACCUGCUAACUGCUGCAGCUCUGUCAGCUUCAGUCUCCCAUGCAGAGCUCUGAGCGCAUGUGUGGCUCUGCACCCUUAGCAGCGUUGCUAACUCCUCAGUAAGGAAAGCCUGCUUCAUGUCAGAGUCUCUAAACUCCAGAAGAAGUCGAUAAAAGUCCCUUUCUUUCUAAAAAAGUCGUUAGGGUGUCUGAAAAGUCAUUGAAUCUAACAACAAAGUCGCUAGGUUUGCAACUACGUGUCCCAGACUGCAUCCCUGCUGAGAGUCCCUCCCUCCCUUCUCAUGUUGCAGGAAGAACGUAAGCGCCCGCCCCUUGUCAAUCAGUCACCAUAUAAUUUUGGAUUGGUUGUUGUGGUGAAGUUUUCCACCAAUAGGAGAGAUGUUGUGGUGUGUUUUUUUUUUCUUUUGGCAAGCCUUUUCCGCCUGUAAGACCUGUCGCUAAUGUCUGCAUGCUAUGUUUUCCUGUCUCAUACAGCGCGAUCGAGCGCCGAACGUGAUCAAAAUAAGCAGAAAAAAAGUAUCGCGGACAUAAUUUAUCAUAACUCUGGUUUUAUUUGGCCUAUCAACACAAUUUAAAAACUGGUAUAUAGGUUGAGGUCCUCACUUUUGAGAUAAGUUGAAACGGAGAGUCAACGAGGCUCCGUCUUGCAGCUACAUCCGGUUAAAUAUGUCAUGUGACUUGAACGCACACAUAGACACACACACACGCACACACACACACACACACACACACACACACACACACACACACACACACACACACACACUCAGAGUCUGGUUUUUAGCACCUGCAAAAACAUGCUAUUUACAUAUUUGACAAGAAUGCAGAGGCUCCUUUUGCCCCUGAAAAAAAUCAAAUUUCAAACACAACUUGACUGGUCAUUUCUCCAAAAGACAACCAUGAAGCUCCAUCCAAACCUGAAGCAGGCAGUUGGUGCAUGUGUACAGUAACCUGAGGGGAGUGAGGUGAGUGCUUCUGAGGAGAACAUGAGCAGUGAAGAUUCACCUUGGAGCUAGAACAGAGACAUGCACAUGAUUAUACAGGGGCAGGGGCUCAAGUUUUUUCCAGUCGUUUAUACAAUAUGGAAAUUAAUGUGAAAUUAAAACACAAAGUAUUAAUAGAAAGGUAAUGACUGUCCUGUGUAGGUGACAGUGAUAUCCAAUAGGCUAGGCACUCACGAGGCUGGCUGUGGCAAGUGUAAGUGAAAGCAACACGCACUGGCAGGAAGAACAGCAAACGCCGAUGAAGGAAAAGGGUCUUUGCAGUGAUGGGCGUUAACAGAGAGGGCGAUGGCCAGAGGACACAAAUGGGACGGGGAGGCAGCACGUUGGGGGGUGGGGGGGUGGGGGGGGGGAGACGCGACACGGCUCGGGCCCGCCAGUGCCCCAACGGGGUCCUAGUUAUUUUUCUGCCCCUUUGAACUGGAAAAUGGCCCACUUCCCACUGGUGAAAACUCAUGAAAUUUGGCAGGACGACCGGGCCUGGUGAAAAAUUCGAUAUUCUGAAGUCAUCCAAACAAUCAAAUGCAAAAUGGCUCCAUAGCGCCCCCUAAGGUGAAAAAUUCACAUGAUUGAGUGUCACGCCUGUACGCUUUGUCAAAAUGACACAAAAUUUGACACACACGUGUAUCUCAAUAAGAUCUACAAAAAAGUCAGUGCGGGCGUAUCUGUCAAAUGUACGGUUAAAGGGCUAUUUCGCAUUUUUUGCCGAUCCACACACAUUGGAAUUUCGCUAACUCCUCCGAAGGCUUUCGUUCCAAAGGCACCACAUUUGCUCAGGCCAAUCUACACCCCAUGGCCAUUAAAAGUUGUACAAAUCAUGACGCUGCACCCCACGGUUUACGUUCUAGGGGGCGCCAAAGAUAACCCAAAAAUCCACAGUCUUAAAAGUCUUAUAACUUUUUAUUUUUGUCCUCACUGGCCUCCAAGUUCUCUAGGAUGAUGCAAUGUCCAGCCAUCAACACAUUUGUGAAGGAAUUUUUACUCGCCAAAGAGCGCCCCCCCAUGGCAGGAGAAAAAAGUCCAUUUUUUCUUGUCUCCUAAGGCGAAAAUUCACACUAUUGAGUGUCACGCCUAUACGCUUUGUCAUAUUGACACAAAAAUUGACACACACAUGUAUCUCAAUAAGAUCUACAAAAAAGUCAGUGCGGGCGUAUCUGUCAAAUGUACGGUUAAAGGGCUAUUUCGCAUUUUUUGCCGAUCCGCACACAUUGGAAUUUCGCUAACUCCUCCGAAGGCUUUCGUUCCAAAGGCACCACAUUUGCUCAGGCCAAUCUACACCCCAUGGCCAUUAAAAGUUGUACAAAUCAUGACGCUGCACCCCACGGUUUACGUUCUAGGGGGCGCCAAAGAUAACCCAAAAAUCCACAGUCUUAAAAGUCUUAUAACUUUUUAUUUUUGUCCUCACUGGCCUCCAAGUUCUCUAGGAUGAUGCAAUGUCCAGCCAUCAACACAUUUGUGAAGGAAUUUUUACUCGCCAAAAGAGCGCCCCCCCAUGGCAGGAGAAAAAAGUCCAUUUUUUCUUGUCUCCUAAGGCGAAAAUACACAUUGUUGACUGUCACGCCUUUACGCUUUGUCAAAAUGACACAAAAUUUGACAAACACAUGUAUCUCAAUAAGAUCUACGAAAAAGUCAAUGUGAGCGUAUCUGUUCAAUGUACGGUUAAAGGGCUAUUUCGCAUUUUUGGCCGAUUCGCACACAUUGGAAUGUGGCUAACUCCUCCUAAAUCUUUUGUCCCAUCGGCUUCAAAUUUGCUCAGGUCAAUCUACACCCCAUGGCCAUUCAAAGUUGUACAAAUCAUGACACUGCACCCCACAGUUUACGUUCUAGGGGGCGCCAAAGAGGACCCAAAUAUCCACAUUUUUAAAAGUCUUAUAACUUUUUAUUUUUGUCCUCACUGGCCUCCAAGUUUUCUAGGAUGAUGCAAUGUCCAGCCAUCAACACAUUUGUGAAGGAAUUUUUUCUCCCCAAAAGAGCGCCCCCCCAUGGCAGGAGAAAAAGUCAAGUUUUCCUGCCCAUCGCUCAAUGGCUCAAACGCAUCGCUCUCUCGGCAAAACCGAAAGGAGGAGCAACUUGCCAUUUGGAUAUAUACUAGCUGUGUUUGUGCCCUCACUUAUGGUCCAGACUUUUUUCAAAAAGGACAUGGAGUUUGUCUGCAGCGAGCGUUUUGGUAGAAACUGCGCCUCCCAUUCAUUAUAAUGGUAAAUGACCACAGACAAGUGCGCACACCAUCUUUGGACCUUGAGUGUGACGCGAUCGGGAGGGGUAGGCGGUCGCGCUGGGGGCGGCACGACACGGCUCGGGCCCGCCAGUGCCCCAACGGGGCCCUAGUUAGGGCCCGAGCGUAGCUGCUAAGCAGCUGCGAGAGCCCUCUUGUUCCUGAUGGAUUCUUCUUUCGUUAUUUUUCCUCCGCUUUAAACUGGAAAAUGGCCCACUUCCCACUGGCGAAAACUCAGGAAAUUUGGCAGGACGACCGGGCCUGGUGAAAAAUUUGAUAUUCUGAAGUCGUCCAAACAAAAAAAUGAAAAAUGGCUCCAUAGCGCCCCCUAUGGUGAAAACUCACCUGAUGCCUGUACGCUUUGUCAAAAUGACACAAAAUUUGACACACAUGUGUAUUUCAAUAAGAUCUACGAAAAAGUCAGUGCGGGCGUAUCUGCCAAAUGUACGGUUAAAGGGCUAUUUCGCUUUUUUUGCCGAUCCGCACACAUUGGAAUUUCGCUAACUCCUCCGAAGGCUUUCGUUCCACCGGCACCACAUUUGCUCAGGCCAAUCUACACCCCAUGGCCAUUAAAAGUUGUACAAAUCAUGAUGCUGCACCCCACGGUUUACUUUCUAGGGGGCGCCAAAGAUAACACAAAAAUCCACAUUCUUAAAAGUCUUAUAACUUUUUAUUUUUGUCCUCACUGGCCUCCAAGUUUUCUAGGAUGAUGCAAUGUCCAGCCAUCAACACAUUUGUGAAGGAAUUUUUACUCCCCAAAAGAGCGCCCCCCCAUGGCAGGAGAAAAAAGUCCAUUUUUUCUUGUCUCCUAAGGUAAAAAUACACAUUGUUGAGUGUCACGCCUAUACACUUUGUCAUAUUGACACACAAUUUGACAAUCACGUGUAUCUCAAUAAGAUCUACAAAAAAGUCAAUAGGCACGUAUCUGUCAAAUGUAUGGUUAAAGGGCUAUUUCGCAUUUUUUGCCGAUUCGCACACAUUGGAAUGUGGCUAUCUCCUCCUAAGGCUUUCGUCCCACCGAUACCAAAUUUGCUCAGGGCAAUCUACACCCCAUGGCCAUUCAAAGUUGUAGAAAUCAUGACGCUGCACCCCACGGUUUACGUUCUAGGGGGCGCCAAAGAUGACCCAAAAAUCCACAUUCUUAAAAGUCAUUUUGGCCACUGCAGGAGUACAGAGUACUGCAGUUCUAGGGGGCGCCAAAGAUGACCCAAAAAUCCACAUUCUUAAAAGUCUUUUUGGCCACUGCAGGAGUACAGAGUACUGCCGGACACACACACAUAUACACACACGCCACACACACACACACACACACACACACACACACACACACACACACACACACACUCAGAGUCUGUUUUUUAGCACCUGCAAAAACAUGCUGUUUACAUAUUUGACAAGAAUGCAGAGGCUUCCUUUUGCCCCUGAAAAAAAUCAAAUUUCAAACACAACUUGACUGUUCAUUUCUCCAAAAGACAACCAUGAAGCUCCAUCCAAACCUGAAGCAGAUAGUUGGUGCAUGUGUACAGUAACCUGAGGAGAGUGAGGUGACUACUUCUGAGGAGAACAUGAGCAGUGAAGAUUCACCUUGGAGCUAGAACAGGGACGUGCACAUGAUUAUACAGGGGCAGGGGCUCAAGUUUUUUCCAGUCAUUUAUACAAUAUGGAAAUUAAUGUGAAAUUAAACCACAAAUAUGUGUGAUGAACUGUUUUUAAAACUUAAACUUCAAAUAAAAAUUGUAAACUUCAAAACAUAUGCAAAUUUUUAACAAAGAACAUAGUAAUUUACCUCUAUUUACAUCAAAAUGCAGGCAAUGGCCCAGGCGUUCUUUGUAAAAUUAUUUACAAAACACUGUAUAGUCUCACAAAUGUCACUUUUUAUUUAUGCCACUACAAAAAAACAUGAUGUAAAUGAUGCAUGAUGUAAAACAUGAUGUAAAAAACUUGUGUAGAUCCUCCUCUAUGUCAGUCCAUGUGUAAUUUUUCCAUAAUUCUUUGUUUUUUGCAGCAUUUUUGUUAGUGUAACUGCAGAUUGUGCUGACAGUGUCUAUGGCAAAAAAAAAAAAAAAACUGAAAAUGCCUCAACAUGAACUCCUGGUGGUCUCUGAGGGUGAAACCUGCUAACUGUGCAGCUCUCUCAGCUCUAGUCUCCCAUGCAGAGCUCGGAGCGCAUGUGUGGCUCUGCACCCUUAGCAGCGUUGCUAACUCCUCAGUAAGGAAAGCCUGCUUCAUGUCAGAGUCUCUAAACUCCAGAAGAAGUCGAUAAAAGUCCCUUUCUUUCUAAAAAAAAGUCGUUAGGGGGUCUGAAAAGUAAUUGAAUCUAACAACAAAGUCGCUAGGUUUGCAACUACGUGUCCCAGACUGCAUCCCUGCUGAGAGUCCCUCCCUCCCUUCUCAUGUUGCAGGAAGAACGUAAGCGCCCGCCCCUUGUCAAUCAGUCACCAUAUAAUUUUGGAUUGGUUGUUGUGGUGAAGUUUUCCACCAAUAGGAGAGAUGUUGUGGUGUGUUUUUUUUUUCUUUUGGCAUGCCUUUUCCGCCUGUAAGAGCUGUCGCUAAUGUCUGCAUGCUAUGUUUUCCUGUCUCAUACAGCGUGAUCGAGCGCCGAACGUGAUCAAAAUAAGCAGAAAAAAAGUAUCGCGGACAUAAUUUAUCAUAACUCUAGUUUUAUUUGGCCUAUCAACACAAUUUAAAAACUGGUAUAUAGUUUGAGGUCCUCACUUUUGAGAUAAGUUGAAACGGAGGGUGAACGAGGCUCCCUCUUGCAGCUACAUCCGGUUAAAUAUGUCAUGUGACUUGAACGCUGGGGAGCGUCAAUCGACUGCAGAGCCAGCAGACAAAGUAGUUAUGCCACUAAGAGGCACACAUUUGUCAUAUGCUAUAAUCCUAACAUAUUUUAAUGCUUUUUCUAUUUAAACCUAAUGGAUCUAAGGUUUGACCUUCAAAAUUUAGGAAGAAUAUUUUUUUGCAGUAAUGACCCCCUUAAACAACCAGAGGUCCUUUCCUAAAGAUUAUGGAAAUUUUAGUGAAGGCCUUGGUUUCUUUCCUUGCAAAAUGUAUAGAAAUAAUAAAGCUAAAUACCAUAAAAUGGUCUUGGCGUAUUAGCAGUGAUAUAAAAUAGUGGUUUGAAUAUGAAUGAACAACAAAAAAAAACAUCAACAGAGCCUUUUUGAGUUGGGAUUCUUUCAUUAUCACACAAAAACAGACAUAGACAGACAUCUAAAGGGUAAGGGAAUGAUCAGCCCUCCUAACUCUCAGAUGAAUCUUCAAAAUUCACCGCAGAAAUAUGCUUAUUAUUCUUCUCAGAGUACUGCAAGAUAUAUACAAACACACACAGACACACACACACACACACACACACACACACACACACACACACUCAGAGUCUGUUUUUUAGCACCUGCAAAAACAUGCUAUUUACAUAUUUGACAAGAAUGCAGAGGCUCCUUUUGCCCCUGAAAAAAAUCAAAUUUCAAACACAACUUGACUGCUCAUUUCUCCAAAAGACAACCAUGAAGCUCCAUCCAAACCUGAAGCAGGCAGUUGGUGCAUGUGUACAGUAACCUGAGGGGAGUGAGGUGACUGCUUCUGAGGAGAACAUGAGCAGUGAAGAUUCACCUUGGAGCUAGAACAGGGACGUGCACAUGAUUAUACAGGGGCAGGGGCUCAAGUUUUUUCCAGUCAUUUAUACAAUAUGGAAAUUAAUGUGAAAUUAAAAAACAAAGUAUUAAUAGAAAGGUAAUGACUGUCCUGUGUAGAUGACAGUGAUAUCCAAUAGGCUAGGCACUCACGAGGCUGGCUGUGGCAAGUGUAAGUGAAAGCAACACGCACUGGCAGGAAGAACAGCAAACGCCGAUGAAGGAAAAGGGUCUUUGCAGUGAUGGGCGUUACCAGAGAGGGCGAUGGCCAGAGGACACGAAUGGGACGGGGAGGCAGCGCGUUGGGGGGGGGGGCGGCGCGACACGGCUCGGGCCCGCCAGUGCCCCAACGGGGCCCUAGUUAGGGCCCGAGCGUAGCUGCUAAGCAGCUGCGAGAGCCCUCUUGUUCCUGUAGUUUCCUUCUUUUGUUAUUAUUAUUAUUAUUAUUAUUUUUCCUCCCCUUUGAACUGGAAAAUGGCCCACUUCCCACUGGCGAAAACUCAUGAAAUUUGGCAGGACGACCGGGCCUGGUGAAAAAUUUGAUAUUCCGAAGUCGCCCAAACCAGAAAAUUCAAAAUGGCUCCAUAGCGCCCCCUAAGGUGAAAAUUCACACUAUUCACUGUCACGCCUGUACGCUUUGUCAAAAUGACACAAAAAUUGACACACACAUGUAUCUCAAUAAGAUCUACAAAAAAGUCAGUGCGGGCGUAUCUGUCAAAUGUACGGUUAAAGGGUUAUUUCGCAUUUUUUGCCGAUCCGCACACAUUGGAAUUUCGCUAACUCCUCCGAAGGCUUUCGUUCCACCGGCACCACAUUUGCUCAGGCCAAUCUACACCCCAUGGCCAUUAAAAGUUAUUCAAAUCAUGACGCUGCACCCCACGGUUUAGGUUCUAGGGGGCGCCAAAGAUAACCCUAAGAUCCACAUAUUUAAAAGUCUUAUAACUUUUUAUUUUUGCCCUCACUGGCCUCCAAGUUUUCUAGGAUGAUGCAAUGUCCAGCCAUCAACACAUUUGUGAAGGAAUUUUUACUCCCCAAAAGAGCGCCCCCCCAUGGCAGGAGAAAAAAGUCCAUUUUUUCUUGUCCCCUAAGGUGAAAAUACACAUUGUUGAGUGUAACACCUGUACGCUUUGGCAAAAUGACACAAAAAUUGACACACACAUGUAUCUCAAUAAGAUCUACGAAAAAGUCAAUGCGCGCGUAUCUGUCAAAUGUACGGUUAAAGGGUUAUUCCGCAUUUUUUGCCGAUCCGCACACAUUGGAAUUUCGCUAACUCCUCCGAAGGCUUUCGUUCCACCGGCACCACAUUUGCUCAGGCCAAUCUACACCCCAUGGCCAUUAAAAGUUAUUCAAAUCAUGACGCUGCACCCCACGGUUUAGGUUCUAGGGGGAGCCAAAGAUAACCGUAAAAUCCACAUAUUUAAAAGUCUUAUAACUUUUUAUUUUUGUCCCCACUGGCCUCCAAGUUUUCUAGGAUGAUGCAAUGUCCAGCCAUCAACACAUUUGUGAAGGAAUUUUUACUCGGCAAAAGAGCGCCCCCCCAUGGCAGGAGAAAAAAGUCAAUUUUUUCUUGUCCACUAAGGUGAAAAUACACAUUGUUGAGUGCUACGCCUGUAUGUUUUGUCGUAUUGACACAAAAUUUUACAUACACGUGUAUUUCAAUAAGAUCUUCGAAAAAGUCAAUGGCCACGUAUCUGUAAAAUGUACGGUUAAAGGGUUAUUUCGCAUUUUUUGCCGAUCCGCACACAUUGGAAUUUCGCUAACUCCUCCGAAGGCUUUCGUUCCACCGGCACCACAUUUGCUCAGGCCAAUCUACACCCCAUGGCCAUUAAAAGUUAUUCAAAUCAUGACGCUGCACCCCACGGUUUAGGUUCUAGGGGGCGCCAAAGAUAACCCUAAGAUCCACAUAUUUAAAAGUCUUAUAACUUUUUAUUUUUGCCCUCACUGGCCUCCAAGUUUUCUAGGAUGAUGCAAUGUCCAGCCAUCAACACAUUUGUGAAGGAAUUUUUACUCCCCAAAAGAGCGCCCCCCCAUGGCAGGAGAAAAAAGUCCAUUUUUUCUUGUCCCCUAAGGUGAAAAUACACAUUGUUGAGUGUAACACCUGUACGCUUUGGCAAAAUGACACAAAAAUUGACACACACAUGUAUCUCAAUAAGAUCUACGAAAAAGUCAAUGCGCGCGUAUCUGUCAAAUGUACGGUUAAAGGGUUAUUCCGCAUUUUUUGCCGAUCCGCACACAUUGGAAUUUCGCUAACUCCUCCGAAGGCUUUCGUUCCACCGGCACCACAUUUGCUCAGGCCAAUCUACACCCCAUGGCCAUUAAAAGUUAUUCAAAUCAUGACGCUGCACCCCACGGUUUAGGUUCUAGGGGGAGCCAAAGAUAACCGUAAAAUCCACAUAUUUAAAAGUCUUAUAACUUUUUAUUUUUGUCCCCACUGGCCUCCAAGUUUUCUAGGAUGAUGCAAUGUCCAGCCAUCAACACAUUUGUGAAGGAAUUUUUACUCGGCAAAAGAGCGCCCCCCCAUGGCAGGAGAAAAAAGUCAAUUUUUUCUUGUCCACUAAGGUGAAAAUACACAUUGUUGAGUGCUACGCCUGUAUGUUUUGUCGUAUUGACACAAAAUUUUACAUACACGUGUAUUUCAAUAAGAUCUUCGAAAAAGUCAAUGGCCACGUAUCUGUAAAAUGUACGGUUAAAGGGUUAUUUCGCAUUUUUUGCAGAUUCGCACACAUUGGAAUUUCGCUAAUUCCUCCGAAGGCUUUCGUUCCACCGGCACCACAUUUGCUCAGGCCAAUCUACACCCCAUGGCCAUUAAAAGUUAUUCAAAUCAUGACGCUGCACCCCACGGUUUAGGUUCUAGGGGGCGCCAAAUAUAACCCUAAAAUCCACAUAUUUAAAAGUCUUAUAACUUUUUAUUUUUGUCCUCACUGGCCUCCAUGUUUUCUAGGAUGAUGCAAUGUCCAGCCAUCAACACAUUUGUGAAGGAGUUUUUUCUCUUUAAAAGAGCGCCCCCCAUGGCAGGAGAAUAAAGUCAAGUUUUUCCUGUUCAUCAUUCAAUGGCUCAAACGCACUGCUCUCUCGGCAAAAGCGAAAGGAGGAGCAACUUGCCAUUUGGAUAUAUCUUAGCUGUGUUUGUGCCCUCACUCAUGGUCCAGACUUUUUUCAAAUAGGACAUGGAGUUUUUCUGCAGCGAGCGUUUUGGUAGAAACUGCGCCUCCCGUUCAUUAUAAUGGUAAAUGACCACAAACAAGUGCGCACACCAUCUUUGGACCUUGAGUGUGACGCGAUCGGGUGGGGGAGGCGGUCGCGCUGGGGGCGGCGUGACACGGCUCGGGCCCGCCAGUGCCCCAACGGGGCCCUAGUUCUUUCUUUCUUUCUUCUUUUUCCUCCCCUUUGAACUGGAAAAUGGCCCACUUCCCACUGGCGAAAACUCAUGAAAUUUGGCAGGACGAUCGGGCCUGGUGAAAAAUUCGAUAUUCUGAAGUCGCCCAAACAAUAAAAUGCAAAAUGGCUCCAUAGCGCCCCCUAAGGUGGAAAUUCACACUAUUGACUGUCACGCCUGUACGCUUUGUCAUAUUGACACAAAAAUUGACACACAUAUGUAUCUCAAUAAGAUCUACAAAAAAGUCAGUGCGGCCGUAUCUGUCAAAAUUACGGUUAAAGGGUUAUUUUGCAUUUUUUGCCGAUCCGCACACAUUGGAAUUUCGCUUACUCCUCCGAAGGCUUUCGUUCCACCGGCACCACAUUUGCUCAGGCCAAUCUACACCCCGUGGCCAUUAAAAGUUAUCAAAAUCAUGACGCUGCACCCCAAGGUUUAGGUUCUAGGGGGCGCCAAAGAUAACACUAAAAUCCACAUAUUUAAAAGUCUUAUAACUUUUUAUUUUUGUCCUCACUGGCCUCCAAGUUUUCUAGGAUGAUGCAAUGUCCAGCCAUCAACACAUUUGUGAAGGAAUUUUUACUCACCAAAAGAGCGCCCCCCCAUGGCAGGAGAAAAAAGUCCAUUUUUUCUUGUCCCCUAAGGUGAAAAUACACAUCGUUGAGAUUCACGCCUAUACGCUUUGUCAAAAUGACACAAAAAUUGACACACACAUGUAACUCAAUAAGAUCUACGAAAAAGUCAACGCGCGCGUAUCUGUCAAAUGUACGGUUAAAGGGUUAUUCCGCAUUUUUUGCCGAUCCGCACACAUUGGAAUGUGGCUAACUCCUCCUAAGGCUUUCGUUCCACCGGCACCACAUUUGCUCAGGCCAAUCUACACCCCAUGGCCAUUAAAAGUUGUACAAAUCAUGACGCUGCACCCCACGGUUUAGGUUCUAGGGGGCGCCAAAGAUAACCCUAAAAUCCACAUAUUUAAAAGUCUUAUAACUUUUUAUUUUUGUCCUCACUGGCCUCCAAGUUUUCUAGGAUGAUGCAAUGUCCAGCCAUCAACACAUUUGUGAAGGAAUUUUUACUCCCCAAAAGAGCGCCCCCCCAUGGCAGGAGAAAAAAGUCAAUUUUUUCUUGUCCCCUAAGGUGAAAAUACAUAUUGUUGAGAUUCACGCCUAUACGCUUUGUCAUAUUGACACAAAAUUUGACAAUCACGUGCCUUGCCUGGUAUCAUUUUUUUCAGCACAACCUCACCUGUGCGAAUUUACAGUUAUUUUAUCAUGUUGACAUACUGAAUUUACACAAUGGACCCAAAUUCACACACAAAACAUAAAAUCCGAGUGGAAAAAAGUAACAUUUUUACUGUGAAAACCACAAAUAUGUGUGAUGAACUGUUUUUAAAACUUAAACUUCAAAUAAAAAUUGUAAACUUCAAAACAUAUGCAAAUUUUUAACAAAGAACAUAGUGAUUUACCUCUAUUUACAUCAAAAUGCAGGCAAUGGCCCAGGCGUUCUUUGUAAAAUUAUUUACAAAACACUGUAAAGUCUCACAAAUGUCACUUUUUAUUUAUGCCACUACAAAAAAACAUGAUGUAAAUGAUGCAUGAUGUAAAACAUGAUGUAAAAAACUUGUGUAGAUCCUCCUCUAUGUCAGUCCAUGUGUAAUUUUUCCAUAAUUCUUUGUUUUUUGCAGCAUUUUUGUUAGUGUAACUGCAGAUUGUGCUGACAGUGUCUAUGGCACAAAAAAAAAAAAAAAAUUAAAAUGCCUCAACAUGAACCCCUGGUGGUCUCUGAGGGUGAAACCUGCUAACUGCUGCAGCUCUGUGAGGUUCAGUUUCCCAUGCAGAGCUCUGAGCGCAUGUGUGGCUCUGCACCCUUAGCAGCGUUGCUAACUCCUCAGUAAGGAAAGCCUGCUUCAUGUCAGAGUCUCUAAACUCCAGAAGAAGUCGAUAAAAGUCCCUUUCUUUCUAAAAAAAAGUCGUUAGGGGGUCUGAAAAGUCAUUGAAUCUAACAACAAAGUCGCUAGGUUUGCAACUACGUGUCCCAGACUGCAUCCCUGCUGAGAGUCCCUCCCUCCCUUCUCAUGUUGCAGGAAGAACGUAAGCGCCCGCCCCUUGUCAAUCAGUCACCAUAUAAUUUUGGAUUGGUUGUUGUGGUCAAGUUUUCCACCAAUAGGAGAGAUGUUGUGUGUUUUUUUUUUCUUUUGGCAAGCCUUUUCCGCCUGUAAGACCUGUCGCUAAUGUCUGCAUGCUAUGUUUUCCUGUCUCAUACAGCGCGAUCGAGCGCCGAACGUGAUCAAAAUAAGCAGAAAAAAAGUAUCGCGGACAUAAUUUAUCAUAACUCUGGUUUUAUUUGGCCUAUCAACACAAUUUAAAAACUGGUAUAUAGGUUGAGGUCCUCACUUUUGAGAUAAGUUGAAACGGAGAGUCAACGAGGCUCCGUCUUGCAGCUACAUCCGGUUAAAUAUGUCAUGUGACUUGAACGCACACACAGACACACACACACGCACACACACACACACACACACACACACACACACACACACACACACACACACACACACACACACUCAGAGUCUGGUUUUUAGCACCUGCAAAAACAUGCUAUUUACAUAUUUGACAAGAAUGCAGAGGCUCCUUUUGCCCCUGAAAAAAAUCAAAUUUCAAACACAACUUGACUGGUCAUUUCUCCAAAAGACAACCAUGAAGCUCCAUCCAAACCUGAAGCAGGCAGUUGGUGCAUGUGUACAGUAACCUGAGGGGAGUGAGGUGAGUGCUUCUGAGGAGAACAUGAGCAGUGAAGAUUCACCUUGGAGCUAGAACAGAGACAUGCACAUGAUUAUACAGGGGCAGGGGCUCAAGUUUUUUCCAGUCGUUUAUACAAUAUGAAAAUUAAUGUGAAAUUAAAACACAAAGUAUUAAUAGAAAGGUAAUGACUGUCCUGUGUAGGUGACAGUGAUAUCCAAUAGGCUAGGCACUCACGAGGCUGGCUGUGGCAAGUGUAAGUGAAAGCAACACGCACUGGCAGGAAGAACAGCAAACGCCGAUGAAGGAAAAGGGUCUUUGCAGUGAUGGGCGUUACCAGAGAGGGCGAUGGCCAGAGGACACGAAUGGGACGGGGAGGCAGCGCGUUGGGGGGGGGGGGGGUGCGACACGGCUCGGGCCCGCCAGUGCCCCAACGGGGUCCUAGUGUUAUUAUUAGGGCCCGAGCGUAGCUGCUAAGCAGCUGCGAGAGCCCUAUUAUUCCCCAAGUGGUUUUUUAGGGCCCGAGCGUAGCUGCUAAGCAGCUGCGAGAGCCCUAUUAUUCCCCAAGUGGUUUUUCUUUGUUUCUUUCUUUCUUUAGGGCCCGAGCGUAGCUGCUAAGCAGCUGCGAGAGCCCUAUUAUUCCCCAAGUGGUUUUUCUUUGUUUCUUUUUUCUUUUUCCUCCCCUUUGAACUGGAAAAUGGCCCACUUCCCACUGGCGAAAACUCAUGAAAUUUGGCAGGACGACCGGGCCUGGUGAAAAAUUUGAUAUUCCGAAGUCGCCCAAACAAUAAAAUGCAAAAUGGCUCCAUAGCGCCCCCUAAGGUGAAAAUUCACAUGACGGCUGUACGCUUUGUCAUAUUGACACAAAAUUUGACACACACAUGUAUCUCAAUAAGAUCUACAAAAAAGUCAGUGCGGGCGUAUCUGUCAAAUGUACGGUUAAUGGGUUAUUUUGCAUUUUUUGCAGAUCUGCACACAUUGGAAUUUCGCUAACUCCUCCGAAGGCUUUCGUUCCACCGGCACCACAUUUGCUCAGGCCAAUCUACACCCCAUGGCCAUUAAAAGUUAUUCAAAUCAUGACGCUGCACCCCACGGUUUAGGUUCUAGGGGGCGCCAAAAAUAACCCUAAAAUCCACAUAUUUAAAAGUCUUAUAACUUUUUAUUUUUGUCCUCACUGGCCUCCAAGUUUUCUAGGAUGAUGCAAUGUCCAGCCAUCAACACAUUUGUGAAGGAAUUUUUACUCCCCAAAAGAGCGCCCCCCCAUGGCAGGAGAAAAAAGUCCAUUUUUUCUUGUCCCCUAAGGUGAAAAUACAUAUUGUUGAGAUUCACGCCUAUACGCUUUGUCAUAUUGACACAAGAUUUGACAAUCACGUGCCUUGCCUGGUAUCAUUUUUUUCAGCACAACCUCACCUGUGCGAAUUUACAGUUAUUUUAUCAUGUUGACAUACUGAAUUUACACAAUGGACCCAAAUUCACACACAAAACAUAAAAUCCGAGUGGAAA